rnacentral:lncRNA from 1 species
UCCCACCUUCUUCCCCUGUAGCCCCACCACCACCACCACGCGCACCUCUUCCUUCCUGGUCGGGGCCGCUGCGCCUCCUCUUCACCACCCCGACCACAAACCUCCCCCCGCCAUGCGCCCCAACUCCCCCCAUCACCGAAACCCGCCACCUACCGCCGACGGAUCCGGCGUGACGCGCCACCGACGGAUCCGCACAGGGACUUCACCUCCCUUGCGUUAGAUCCGGCUACCCGUGGAUCCCCCUCCCCUGCCCCACCUUCCUCCUUCACCACCGAGCCGCGACGGCCGUGGAUCCAGCUUACUGCGACGGACCUCCACUCCCCUUGGCCAACCCACCCAUUCCCGAGGUGUGGGCGUUGUUCCCCCAAUGCCGACGAGCUCCAUCGCUCACCCCUGCUCACCGUGAUGCGCACGUGGGGUCCUGGUGAGGUAGUUCGGGAGAAGGGCAGGCGCGUCGGUGCAGUUUGCCGGUGUACGCGCAGUCCGUCUGGGUACCACGUGCAGUGCCCGCACGUCAGUGUAGUCCGCCGGCGCUGCGUGCAGCUCCGCCUUGGCCCAUCCCCUUCAUCUACUCCACCACCUCCUUCUCGCUUCGCUCCACGAGAUCGAGCACCCCCUGCCCUCUAUAUUGGCCUCUGCUCGGGUAGGUGUAGGAUCCACGGCAAAUCGAGGUUGUUGACCACGCCGUCGACAUCGCCAGGCCCUCUUCCCUCCUCCCCGCGAGCGCCAUCCAACGACAAAGAUCCAUGUCGAGUGCCAUCCUCCUCCAAUCCCUAUGACCCCCUCCUACAGCUCCCCUCCUCCUCUAUGUGCGAGCACCACCGGCGAAGCAUCACCGCUGCCCCAGCUCCACUCCUCCAUGCGAUUAGUACUGCGCGGGCAGGGGAUGAGCUCCACUUUGACUCCCUGGUCGUCGUUGACCACCUCUCCUGAUGUGCAUUUUGAUUUUGUGGUUUCUUGUUCAUGUUUGUGUAGUUCAAAACAUGUUUCCUGUGAUGUGGGAUGUGCAGUUGUAUGCAAUUGUGAUAGUGGGAAAAAUGCAGCUCACUCACCCGGCGGUGAUUCACUUCAAGUUCGCACAACUCUAGAAAAGCAUGUCGUUCGCUUCGCGGGGGAGAAAAGUUCGCUUGCUAUUCCAGAAAAAAUUGAACGUAUAAAGGGUCGAGCAGUUCAUCUCAUAUCACGUCGCGCUCAUUUUUUUUAGUAUGUGGUUCACUUCUUUUUUAUCUCUCUAAGCAAAUUGCCAUGUUGGUUAUAAUCCCAUGGGCGCCAGAGGUGCAGUGUUGUAGGGUUGAACAUGCAGUGCGCCGGCGACCGGCUUGCUUUUCAGGGAAAAUUGUGGAUUUUUUAAAGUCCCCAUGUCUAUGUAAUAUGUAUGUGUUUGUCCCGUGGAGAGAAAAAAAGAGCAUUUCAGUUCGUUAUCUUUGUCGUCCAAAGACGUACGGAUCGAAGCUCUCUAAAAACGCAGUUAACUAUGUUGCCAAGUGCAGAAAAAAGGAAAAAGUUUGAUUUUUUAUGUAACUCACUCUGUUGCUGUGUGCAGUAGAAAAACCAUUAGAAGGAAAAUUCAUGCAGUCCACUCACCUCGUCCCCGAAGCACCUUCUCACCCGUAAAAUAAUGUUAGAAAAAAUGUUAGAAAAAGACAAAAAAACUCGCUUCUUUUUAGAUGCAGCUCACUAGCUUUUGCCCUGCGGUUCAUUUUCGUCGACCGAAUGACCAAAAACAGAGUGAAAAAGGAAAAAAAAAUCAUGCAGUGCACUUGCUAGUCUGAUGUAGUGGGGUUUUUCGUCUAAAGAAGUGAAAGUUGUGAAUGGCAUGUAAUUUCGAAGCUCGCUUUGUUCUCUCAUGUAGUCCGCUAUAAAACUCCUCCAUGAUUCACUUGUAAACAGAAAAACAAAAACAUCUCAAAAAGAAGCUCGCUUCUUAUUAGAUGUAGUUCACUCGCCCGGUCUACGCGCGUAAAAAAAUGAUAAGUAUGAAAAAAGACAACAAAAACUCAUGCCGUUCGCUUUUGAUAGUGUCGCGGUUCACUUUGAGGAGUGUUGCGGUGCACCACCGUUCAAAAAAAAGUUGAAAAAAAGAGAACAAAAACUCAUGCGAGAAAGUUUACGUCCAACAAAAUGAAAUCAUGAAGUUCACUUGACUGCCUGCUGCAGUGCGGUUUUCCGUUUGAAGCAGUGCGUUCUUCUGUCCGAUGAAAGGUCCACUCGCUUGGUCAACGCGCGUAAAAGAAUUAAUAAGUAUGAAAAAAAGAAAACAAGAACUCAUGAGGUUCACUUUGGGUAGUGUUACCGUUCACUUUCGGAAGUGUUGUGGUCCACUCGUUCGAAAAAAAAGUUGACAAAAAGAUAACAAAAACUUGUGAGAGAAAGUUUAUGUCCGACAAAAAGAGAUCAUGAAGUUCACUUGACUGUCUGCUGCAGUGCGGUUUUCAUUUUGAAACAAUGCGUUCUUCAGUCCGAUGAAGUACACACGACGAUUUGGGUCUCGCGAAAAACAGAGUGUCCGCUUUUCGGUAAAAUCAAAACCACUCUUAAACCGUAAGGAAUGAGAGAGAGUGUUCUACAUGAAAAAGUUGCGUCUCGUCGAUAUGUUUCCAACGGCGUAUGAUUUGAAUCAUUUCGACCAGCGGUUCGGAAAAUUUUAGCAAAAAACCGCCGCUGCCACUCGUCGUCGUCCGCCGCACGAUUUCUAAAAUUAACUUGAAACCGUAAGAAAUCUCGAAAACAAUACCACAUAUGAAAGUUGCGCCUCGUCCAUUGCUUUUCAACAGCGUAUCGCACGCAUCUUUUCGACAAACGGUUAAAAAACUGGAGAGAAAACAAUACCGAAAAUUUGAAAAUUUCUGAAAAACAGAAUUCCGCGAUUUAGUAAUUUUUUAAACUGCUCUUAAACUGUAACGAAUUAGAGAAAAUAAUAAAUAUGAAAAAGAUGCGCCUCGACGAUAUCUUUCCAACGGUGUAUCAUUUGCUUCAUUCCGACGAACGGUUUAAAUAAAACGCGAAAAAACGCUCGCUGCCACUCGUCGUGGGCCGCACCAUUUCUGAAACUGCUCUUAAACCGUCAGGAAUCUCGAAAAGUGUUCAACAUGGAGAAGUUGUGCCUAAUCCAUAGCUUUUAAACGGUAUAUUACACGCCUCAUUCCGACAAACGGUUAAAAAACUAGAGCAAAAAGGUACCAAAAAACACAAGCGUGCAGUUUUUUCCGAUGCGAAGUUCACUCGCCUGAGUACUGCAGCACACUUGGUUCAAACAAUGACGUGCACUUGCGUUGAGCAUGCAGUGCGGAAGUGUUAUCAGAAUAGUUAUUUUGCUAAUAUUAGCAGAAUAGACCGGCUGUAAAUCUGCCCGUGCGUUGCAACGGGAGGAGAAAAACUACACUCUCCUAGACCCAAUAGCUCAAAACCUCCCGCACACAUUCGACGACAUCAACAAACUCCUUAAUUGUACAACAUGACAUAUUGUGUUGGGCAAAACAUAAAUGUGGGAUGAUUCCAUAAGUAUGUACGUGGCUAUGAGUAUUUCUUCAUAGCCUUGCUAACGUUCCUCAGUGAUGCCUAACAAAUAUUGCAUUAGCUUGAAAACAGCAAAGUCCAUUUUAUUACUCAAUGAUAGCAUAUACAUAACACCUAGCAUCCCAUAGCAUGGCCACCACCACUUCUGAAUUUCCGCUGACAAAUAUGACGGGCUUUGCAUUGGAAGGAAAAAAUAUGCUAAUAUUCUCAUGAAAUAAUGCAACAUGUCAGAACUAUAAAUAUCAAACUGAAAAAUAGUUACGAUGAACAAGAAACAUGAUUUGCUAUGGAGAAAUACCAGACGACAUGAACGUUCUAGCAUAGCAUUACUUAAGGUGAGGGUCUUCCCUGAAAGGAAGGAAUCAGGUGAAUCCACCACCUUAAAGUGUCACUACCAUUUGCGUGAAAACAUCUCCUGCCCACCAUCAACAUCAUUGUAUCCCUACGACCUGUAAAAGUCCUUUGACGUGACACAGCCUCGGCUUCGUGAUCACGACCACUGUUUUUUUCUAGUUUGAAAAAAAUCUUUGCAAUUAGAGUAUUUCCUAAACAAAGUAAUUUGUAGCUUUCAUCUAAAGAUAUAUAUGCACCAGAUAUUUGAGAAAUUAAUAAGCACUAUUAAUGUUGAGGUAUGAAUAAGCAAAAAGCUCUAUAUUGAUAUUGAAGGCCAAAAAGUUUUCUAUGUAGUUGACAUCGCACUGACAUAUCUGCAGUCUGCACUAUUAAUUAUCACUGUAGGACUAAAAACAGUUAUAAAUUAAGUUAAGAAGGAAGAUGUUGAAACAGACUCUAAAACGAAGACUCCGACAUCGCAAAUUGUUGUAUGGACUACACCCAUGAAGAGGCUAUACAUCAUAUUUUCUCCAACUAAAACACAGAAACAACGAUGAGCAACAAAAAAUAAAAAAUCACGGGCAGACCAAGGCUGCUAAUUUGCACUAAAUUUUGACCUAGGUAGGCCAGAGGCAGUUGCUUAAGCGGCCAAUCUAUGGUGGUGGUCUUCCAUAUACUCCGUAAUUAACAUUAACAUUAGAAGCAGAUUUAGUAUCAGUUAUGACAUUUAUUCUAAGCUAAUUACAGAUGUUAUAUCAUAAUGGAGUUCACCCCAUCCACACCACAACCUAUCCCUAGAAUCCACCCGACUCGCCUCUUUGUGUCAUUGAGAGAAGUUGACAUACAGACGAACAGAAGGAGGCAAUAAAGGCAGUUGCAGUUGUAGCUUAUCUCGUCUUCCUCCUCCUGUGCCUUCUUCCUCCUCAACGUCCUUUCAGUGCGUUGCUCCUACUCCACCAGUCCUCUCCCUUCUUCCUCCUACUCUAUGUCCUCCCCAUCCUCCAUCUCCCCACCGUGUGGCUCUCCGUCUGUCUCUUGCCUCCCUCUUAAUUAUACGCUCCUCACGACCGCCUCCGCUGCCGUAUUCGCCACCACCAGGCACCUCACCCCCACCUCAAAGAAACACCAGUAGCGCGGAUGCGUCAUCGCCCUGCUUGCGAAUCUUACAGCGCGCCUCCUCUCCCUCAAUGACCGCCUCUUGACGGACCAAGGCGGCAAGGGCCUGGUUCUCGAGCCACUCGACUACGCCCGCGAUGCGCUCCGGGGGUGCGCGACCGCAAUGGCUUGCCAGGACCAAGUUAGCAACUGCACUGACAUGUCGUGCCGGGAGCCACCACGCUUGAUGAUGUAACCAGGAGCCGCCGGCUGGGCGAAGGACCCCCUGCAAGUGGUGACUGGAGGCGGGGAUUUGUUUAGUUUUAUAGUGUUUUGGUGCUCCUUGUGGUUUUCUUUUUUUUGAACAAACUCCUUGUGGUUUCCUAGUUGUAUAGGAUAUGGAAUUGAACUUCGAUUGAACAGACACGGAUAGCCUCGUAGGUGAUCUGAGGUCACCAUGGUUUCAAUCCAUCUAAGCACAAAUUUUUUCUAAAAAAAAUCUUUUAAAUCUUAACCGUUAAUCUUUAUGAUUAACACAAAAUCAACGGAUAAAAAAGCGUGGUGUAUGAAGNNNNNNNNNNNNNNNNNNNNNNNNNNNNNNNNNNNNNNNNNNNNNNNNNNNNNNNNNNNNNNNNNNNNNNNNNNNNNNNNNNNNNNNNNNNNNNNNNNNNNNNNNNNNNNNNNNNNNNNNNNNNNNNNNNNNNNNNNNNNNNNNNNNNNNNNNNNNNNNNNNNNNNNNNNNNNNNNNNNNNNNNNNNNNNNNNNNNNNNNNNNNNNNNNNNNNNNNNNNNNNNNNNNNNNNNNNNNNNNNNNNNNNNNNNNNNNNNNNNNNNNNNNNNNNNNNNNNNNNNNNNNNNNNNNNNNNCGCCCCGAUCACACCUCCACCCAGUGCGCCGCCGCCCGGAUCCCACCGCCACCCUGCGCGCUGCUGGCCCUAUCCCCCUCCUCCCAGAGCGCCUCCGCCACGGCCCCCCUCCUCCCAGCGUGCCUCCCGUCGCCGACCCCUGCCCCCAACUUGCCUCCUGCCGACGACCCGCCUCCAUCCACCGGCGUGCUUCCCUCGCCGUCCGCCGCGCGCCUCCCUCCCUGUCUAUCUCUCGUGCGCCGCCUCACCCGAGGACCUGCGCACCAGUGCACCGCCACCCCUACCCCGCCGUGGUCGGCCGCCGAGAUCCAAGGCUGAGGAGGACCUAUGAGUCUUGCUCGCCGGAGCUAGGUUGCUCGCCAGCCACCUUCCUCCCCUGCGCUCUCCCGUCGCCUUCCUCGCGGCGCUCCGUCCACCUUGCUCCCCGCGCUCCGGCCGCCUUCCUCCCCACGCUCCGGCCGCUCUCUCCCACGCACGCCGGCCGACCGCAUCCCUGCUUCCAUCAGCUCCACUUCGACGGAGCCGUCAGUCCACCGGAGUACAGGUAGCCGGUUCACCCAAUUCCAUCCAAAAAUCUUCUUUUUUAGUGGAUGUGCUUAUGCCUGAAUGAAUGGCAUAUGUGUCUCACAAGUGGCUGUGUUUAUGCCUGAAUGGAUCCUGUUUGUCCAACUUACUGAUACUUGUAUUUAUUCUGGCCUAAUAAAUUAGUUAAUAUAUGUGAUUCAUGUAUCCUAUGAUUUUCAUCAUCAUACAUGCCUUAAAAAGAUUUAUGCUGAAUGUAUGCGGCUAUAUAGUUACCGUCCGCCAAUUGGAAUUAAUUAGCAUCGCAGGCUAAUUAAUUGUAGUUUCUUGUUGCGCAAUAAUAGUUUGUGUGCACCAUGUGUGUAAGAAUGUUGUUGCUGGAUGGCCAAAAAAACAGAGCUUAAUUAGUCUCUACAAUACAAUGGUUGGCUGGAAAUUUCUUUUUACUUGUCCAGAGAAAAUUAUAUCUACACUAUGUGUAUCAGUUCAUGAUAUAAUUUUUCAUCAGUUCAUAAUUCUGUCUUCUUAUGAUAGAUAAAAAUAUACUAGUUUGGAUCUUCAUUAGUUUCUCAGUCUUCAGUCUCAUUUUCUUCUUCAGUACGUCUUGUCCCUAUGUCAUUCUCAGUAAUUGUUUAGUAUUAGCUAUUCUGGUUAUCAUUCAGAGAUAAGAGGUGAGUGUUUGGUGUUUCACUCCAUCCGGCGGGGAGGCGCCUCGGCCGCUGUCCGAUGGUCUGUCGGAUGCUCGUGAACCCCGCCUCCAUCAGCUCCACUUCACUGGAGCCGUCAGUCCGCAGGAGUAGGGGUAGCAAGUUCACCCGACGUCUGACGCCUUCUUCCAUCUCCAAAUAUCUUGUUUUUUGAGUUCAGUUCUUCGUCACAUGUUUCACUAGCUGAAAUUGCAUGGUGUUAUGAAAUUGCUUGCGGACUACUAGCUGAAAUUGCUUGACAAACAGAGCAAAAGGUUGUAUCUUCAUCUACUGUUUUUCAGAUAUUCGUCAUAUGCACGAGCACGACUAUAUUUGCUUGUUAUGAUCUAGUGGGCACCAUUAACAUUUUGAUAGUCCUUCUGCAGGGCCCAAACCCACUAUUGUGCAAGAAAAAGAAAGCAAAGCCCCAACCAUCAGCUGCUCAAUCAUCAGGUAAUUAAUCAGCACUAAACAUAUGUGUCUAAUCCAAUGUUGCGAAAGCAAGCUUGGAGUUGCCUGACUUAUCUUGAGGUGUAGAACUGAUAGUAACACGGAGAAGAGAUAAUGCAACAAAAAUCUUAGAUAGGGCAGUGAAGUCCAUUGCGCAUUCUGAUUUGUUGUAGCUCCUGACAUCAUGGUUUAUGUGUGCUGUAGGAUUGAUUUUUGUUUGGUUGUAAUAGUAGUAUUCUAAUUCUGUUCAUGGAGGACACUUGAGUGGGUUGUCUAUUUGAUGAUUUCAGUUACUGCUCAACACCUGAAUUCAUAAACUGUCAAUUUAUUUUGAAUUGAACUGAUGUUGCUCUUGAUUCAGACCUGUGGGGAGAAGACGGAACUAAAAUGAUUCAGUUCAUCAUUGGCACCCCUGUAAACCAAACAGUGAAGAACACACCCCCUGUACUUUUGCGCUUGUUCUUUCUAUCUCCUAAAUUCUAUGCUUUCUGUGAUGAGCAUGCUUGGUACUAUAUAGAUACUGCUGUAGUAGUUCUAAUACAAUAUAUUACAAGAAUUCAUUGACCAAAAAGGUGUCAGUUCAUAUAUGUAUGCAGCAACUGUUCUGAUACUACUUCAGUAACCAAAAAAACACAAAAGUUCAACUAUACUUGUACAAAAUAGUUCAAUAUUUUAUUCUAUGACAGUCAAGAAAAACAGAAAAAAAGAGGUUCAUUGUGUGAUGAACAAUAGUCCCAACAGUGUGGUAGAGAUGCAAAAAAUUGAUAGCAUAGUUGAUGCUAGUUUUCAAUCACUUUCUGAAGAAAACUGAAGUUGAUCAGAGUACCUGAAGAAUAAUCUGUUAGUUCUCAAGUAUGUGUAAUGCUGCCAUUUUACUGUGCAUUUGAUUCCAUCGAGAUGGAUGUAUUACAAGAUAUGGUUGUAUUAUUAUGUUGAAUAAAAAUGCCAUUUUGCUGCAACAUUUUCUGUCAGCUCCUGUCAAGUUAUACAUGUAUGUGAGGACCUUCUAUGUAGUAAGUUCAUUGUCGAGAAGUCAGGGACUUAGUAAAGAACGUGAACACCAAAAAACCAUUAAAAACCCUAAACCUUAUGUUAGGGGAGUUCAAGAAGUUCAUGGCUAGCUGUCCGUGUUGUGUAUUCUUAUCAGUUCAUAAUCGAGAAGACAUGUAUUCUUAUCAGUUUGUCUAUCUAGCCGGUCGUGCUGUGUAUUCUGGUCUGUUUGUGUGUGUAUGUGUUGCCCUCGCGGUGUACGAGAGGCCGCCAGUGAGGAAGUCACCGAUCUGGUCGAGGCAUGCUGCUAUUCUCUAUUUCCGGUAGCACAAACAUUUAAAAGUUCGAACACCAAACCCUGGUAAGUUCGUCUUGACAAAAACACAUCUCUCAUAUUUGUUCCUUUUUCGUAGGUUGAAGUUAAAACAAGAUGCACAAGUUCAUCUUUUGUAUGCUUUUCAGUUCAUCUACUUCCCGAUGGUGAGUCUGAUUUCCUUUGUGUUUCCAUCUUCAUAUAGCACAAACAAGUACUUGUCAUUGUGCUUGAGAAUGAGCACCAUACUGUCACUUUGGUUAAUGAAUUUUGUAGAAAGUUCUCUGGGAAUUUUAAUGUAGAACUGUUGCUAUCUUCACAAUUAUACAGAUCAUGCAUGCUAUCCAAUGAGCCAUCAAUUGAAGCAAUUUCGAAUACAGAGAGGCAAAUACACAGGAUUCCCAACUAAUAGAUACUAAUGUUCUUUUAGCACAUUGCUAGUAGUUGUAUCAGUUACCUUUCUUUUGGAGCUAUGUAAUUGAUAAAUAACAAAGAGGGAAAGCACACCGUCACAACCGCUCGCCGCCCCCACGCGUGGUUGCUUUCCUCCUCCCGUGCGCGUAUGCCACCUCAGCUGCUACAAAUUCUUGUGUGGGUCGCCGUUCCUCACUCCGGCGUGUGUCACCACCGCCAUGACCUCCCCCGGCCAGCCCCCACGGCCUGUCUCAAUGGUGCCAGGCAUGCUCUCGAGCCGGUCCAGAACCACCACGACGUCCAGCACCGUUCCCAUAUAUAUGUGAGGUGCUCGCGUGUUGGGGUGUUGCAUCUACGGCGAGGUCGCCAUACUGCACCAGCUCCAUGACACUAACCUCAUCUCUGGUUUCUCUUCUAUACGACCUAUAAUAGUUCUUCACUGGAGGUUCAACAAAAUGACCAGCAUCAGUUCAUGCCUCCAUCUUUCUUUUUCCUUUGUGCUUCUGAAGAGCUUCAUUUUUUUCAGUUCAACUUUUGAAUGUGUUUCAGUUCAUCUACUUCCUGGUCGUCCUGUGUUAGCUAGAUCGGUACUAGUGCUCAGCAGUACGACAAGUAGCAGUACUGAUCAGUACGACUUACACAAUACUAUUACUGAUCAGUAAAUAUUCUUAAUGUUAAAAGUAACAUCCAUAUAGGAAAAAUGCUUCUAUUCUAACACACAUUUUUUUUGGAAAAAAGAGCACUAGUACUGAUGAGUCGUACUGACAAGGAUGCCGGCAACCGGUGAUGCUCCUCCCGCCGCCACUCUACCUCCUUCUCGAUGGGGCUACGCCGCCGUCUCGAUGGGGCUACGCCGCCGCUGCGUGCAGGAAGUCCAUCGCCUCCACCCCAGGCCGUUCAAUGCCACCCGUCGUGGAUGUGCUCCGCUCUAACGCCAUGGCUUGCGAUUCAGCGGCAAAUAACGGAGCCUGCAGAAGGAGCCGCCGGGUCGAGGACCUCCAGUUCGUCAGUCCAACAAAAGGCUAUAGAAAGUUGAUACUAGUUUGCAUUAAGGUUAGCCCCUUUGUUUAUUCAUCAGUACAAGUUAUUUAGUUCCACUUAGAUUAUGUUCAGCAAAUUGCGUUCCUUCUGUGUUUGGCACAAUUCGAUGCUCACCCUGUAUUGUGCUACUUCUUCCUGCUCACAGCAGGCAUUGCGUCUUAUUUGCCAGUGACAACAAUCUUUACACAGCAGGCACGUUCUUGUUCAUGCUGAAAUUACGCCGUGAAAGAAGUCAUCCCAUCUACUUCUCUAGGCCUAGAAGUUCUUGCUAUUUCCCUGCAACAAAAAAAAACAAUUCUGUAAAUUUGCUCCUGAUUUCGUUUAGUUCAUGCUGAUUUUAAUUGCAAAUCUCAUUUUGUGAUUGAUUAAAUUUUCGAGCACCAUACUCCCAUGAUGUAGGUCUACCGUAUUCCAUCGCUGGACUAUGCCUUCUACCGGCAGCCCCUGAACAAACCUCAAGUCUCAUACUUGUUCCUAUUUUUUGCAGGAUGCAGCAAAAAGCAAGAUUCACAAGUUCAUCUUCUGGAUGCUUUUCAGUACAUCUACUUCCCGUUGGUAAGUUAAAUUUAUUCUGUGCUUCCAUCUUCCUAUAGCACAAAUGGCUUAUGGGAUAUCAGGAUAAUGUGUAUACAAAUUAUUUUUGGUUAAUAUUUUGUAUGAUCCAUUUGACAGAAAAGAUUCUUGUUAUUUGUGAAGUUAUACAACUCUUCUGUCAUCAUAGCUUAUUCAUGUUGGUAGUCCAGGUGCAAACACAAAAUAUCAGUUCAAUGGAUACGUUGUAUCUGUUUAUCACAUAUACUUGCGAAAGAGUUCAAAAUGUUCUUCCCUUUCUAGAAAUUACAUGUGAUUAUUCAUUUCUUUUUGGGCCAUACAAACAACAAUAACUCAUUGGGCUUGUAUGGCUGAAUUUCUUUUCAUUUGCUCGUAUAACUGGAAUGCAUCUUUGCUUGUAUUAUCUCUUGUAACACUAAAUAUUUUUUUUAUGUUGGCAUGUCUUGAGGAGCGCCCUGGCCGAUCACAGCCGCCACCGCAGGCCGUUCAACGCCACCUCCAUCAGUAAAUGUUCCACUGAAAAUCAGGUUUGGUGACUCCUCUCCCUUUCUCUUUUCAUGUAACGCAUUCAAGACAAGUUCAAGUAUAAGUAAGAAGAUUCUCACCAGAGAAAUUGAUCUGGAGCUCUUUGGUUUGGCAGUUUUUCAGUUGGUGUAGAGCUUGUCAAAUCGACAGUUUUUCAGUUUGUGUGGAGCUUGUCAUAGUUUUAUGCAGAUAAAGCUUUAUAAAAUGCAAUAAAAGUGUUCUGUUUUUUGGUAUCUCACGGCUGUGUGUAGCUAUUGUAUGUCUUCUGAAUCAUGAUGCUUGUUGUCCUUUUGUACAUAUCUUUAGUGCGCGUGUCGAAGGCCAGUAAGUUCUACUGCCGGUAUACGCCAAGUUUAGAGAUGUUGCCGCCGAUGGCAUGGAGCGAGCCGCGUCUCGCACCUCCACCAGCUGCAGUUCACGGCCUCCACCAGCUGAAGGUCCUGAGGAUCAUUUUUCUCUGAUGUCAAUGUAUCGAGAUAUGAUAUCUGAUCAGUUCCACAAAUAUUUGGAGCUAAACAGCUUAGCUAGUUCGGUCGUACUGACCCAUUGGCCUGUUUUACCUCUCUAAAUAAAGUUGCAAGAAUGACUAACACAUGAAAUAGGAAUUAAUGUGUAAACCGGUACAUGCUCCUUGUUGAUAAAAUCUAGCACAUUCAAAGUAGUCAUGAUUGGACUAGGAUUCUAUGUUUCAUCGUUAUCUAACAGUGCAUACAUCAUUAUCUAAGUGCAGUACAUCAUUAUCUUACAGUGCAGUAUGUCGUUAUCUUACAGUGUAGUACAGUAAAUCAUGAUCUAACAUUUUUACAGGAACUGCAUGCUAUAUACAGAAUUUCUACAGAAACUGCUGCAGAUACAUGACUUAUGAGGCUACCAGAGGCUACUACACCUCCAGAUUAUUGACAGCCUGCAACUUACUUGCUUCCAACACACUAGUAACACAUUCUAAGGUCCCAAAUCGGCUACUUCAGAGCGCUGUUGCUAUUCUGUGGGUAAAGGUCCUCAUUUUGUUGAUGGCGGCAUCUUACAAAGAAAAGGUAACCUGCUUUUACUUAUUACUCUUGUACUUUGCCCUUCAAAUACGGAAGUAGAAUCAAUGUCAAUAAGCAUUCACAACUUCUCUUAUUGUCGGUCACUCAGAAGGUGCUCGAAUAAUUCAAUUAAUGGCAAAUGUUAAAGACCUUUAUUAUAACUUUUGAUCCAUAGUUGCCAACUUUUAGAUCACAAACCGCUGUAGUAUUUCUCUGAACAAUGGGAUCAAACCCAUUUUGAUCAUGACAUGAUAAAAAAUGGAAUGGUGGGAAGUAGUAGGUCCAGUUUCUAGUAAAUGGGAUCGUGGGCAGAUGCAUAAUAGUCCUAUCCUAUGAUCUGCAGUUUUCAGAAUAAACGGGAUCAAAUGGCUUCUUCCCCAGACCACGGUCGGCCUUCUGCCCGGGCAAACCCCUUCUCUUCCUCCCAGGCACAGCCGCGACAUCCUUUUCCGUCCAAAUUGACCGCUGACUGCGGUCUAAGUUCAGCAAAUAAUUUUUUAGUUCAGUCCAACCUGGCCGCCCCAAGCAGUUCACAGUCGCAGCUACUAGGCCGAUUGCCUCGAGCCUCCUGCCACUGCCGGUGGGGCUCCAUCGCCGUACUGCCCAUACCGUUCACCGCCACCACACCGGAUCGUUCAACGACACAACCUGAAGCAGUUUGACGCCGCAGCUCGGGAGGCACACACUUCGCCCCUCCAUCCCAGGAGAGCAGUAUAUCUCCUUGUGCACGAGCAGUCCUUUGCCGAUGUACACGGCUGCUCUAAGCUCUUUGGCCACUUCUGCAAUAUGUCCAACGCCGUCCCCAGUCCAACCCCGUGGCGUCCGGACGGUCGAAUUCAUGCCGAGCAGCAGUCCAUGGCCGUCAGCUCCUAUUUCCACUAUAGUGGUUGGGUUGCCGUUUUCCUCAUCCUUCCCAGUGCGCGACAACCCAGCCCACAUGCUGCUGCCGUCCGCCACCCCAAAAUAGCUUGUCUAUGUAAAUGCUACUAAAUCAGUGGUUUGAUUCAGCAGCCUGCUUCAGUUCAAACACAUGAACAAAAGUAAUCAGAGAAGAACAAUAUACUGAAGAACAAUAUACUGAGUUUUUUUGUUAAUCAGCGAAGAAGAAUAUACUGAAAUUUCCGAGGAUAACACAAUGCAGUGCUAGUCACUGUCAUUAGUACUUAAUGUGAGUCAAAGAAGAAGUGUUGGACAGUGGUUCAUUGUUAAUCAGUGAUCAGAACUAGUGUACUUUGGAUUAUACUAGUGCAAAUGUAGCCUCAACUUCCUAGUACGUGUGAACAUGCACACAUCUGACAGAAAAUGGGUUCAUGAGAAAAUGAGGUUCUUAUGAUCAUAUUUAUUGUUAAAUUAUUCAGAAGAAAUGCUAUUAAUUUAUAUCAUUAGUGGAAACACAGUUCACUUAUUAAAAAAUAAUUGUAUUAGUUCAGACUCGAGAGGGUGUAAGUGCAGAAGAAAAAAUUGGUAGCUGUAAAGGGUCACGAUUGAAAAGGUUAUAAGUUCAACACGACAUCUCAGAUAAGUUCGUGAAUCAAACAAAAAAGAAACCCCAAAUGGGAACUCAAAUGGUAAAAGUUCAAGUCACAAAUUUCUACUUGGCCUAGAUAGCUCAUAUACACUUCAAUCUUGUAAUUUAAAAGGUCAAGUCACAAGUUCGGAGAUGAUUGUUUGCAAGUAGUUUGCUUUGAUGAAUCUGUAAUUGCAUCAGGCCAUUACAGAAAAUGGCUCUAGCAGUUCAUUAUUUAUUUCAAUUCAUGAAAUUGAUACAGUGCGCCACCCCGCCCGCAACGUCGUUAUUGCUUGUUAGCUGCCGGUGGUCCGUGUGCCCUGGUCGCUGCUGCUGUAGGGUAAGGUGAGUGAGAAAGAGAUUACUGAGAUGGAUUUGCUGCUGCUGUUGUUCCUUGUAUUGAUAGAGGAUUGUCGAAUCUAAAGCCAGCUGCACCUUUGCUCCUAUGCACUGUCACAUAUGAGUUGGUGCUCCUGUAGUGUUCUAAUUAGCAAAAGAACAAUGAGAAGGGAAAGAAGACGGUGGUUAAAUAUUAAGUAAAUAAGGACUGAUAGAAUGAGGAUAACAUAAAACAGUGCGUGACUGAAAGAAACUAAAUAUUUUGGUGCGAAACUUUGUUGCUUUUCUCUGGUGUUGUAGUUCAAUUUACUACAACCUUUCCGCUUGUAAUAGCAUCUUCUGCAGGAAGUUCGAGAUGGGAACACUUGUUUCAAAUGCUCACCUCCGAUUCGCGAUGCUGCCAACAAGGAAAACCUCUGGGAAGCUCUGCUGGUAGUGCAAUCUCCUAUCCAUCCCAGCUCCAACUUACUGCUGCUAACCAACUGUAUGCAUGUAAUAAAAAAGUAGGUGUUUGUUGCACAACUUCGAGUUGUCGCUACUCGGAGAUGCUACUACUAUUGCUAGCUUUGGGGUUCACAUGCUACAGCACAUGGAUCCAUGGACAAAUAAUUAAUAUGAGAGAUAGUUUGGUUGUGUCAUGCUCUUUAGUGUUUUGUUUCUAUUCCUGUUAGCACCAAAUAGUGCUUGAAUUUUUUUAUUUUGUGCUCUCACAUAUUUGUUUGGGCAGUACAAACACAUCAGCACAAUGAGUAAGAGCAUCUCCAGCCGCGCCCUCAACAUGCCCUUCCCAGGCGUUUUUGCCGCGUCGGCGCCGAAAAAACCUGCCCAGUCGUCCCCCAGAAGCCCGUUUUUCGCCGGCUCGGGCCGAAUAUGGUGCCAGCGGACCCAGGCAGCGUAAAGGCGCGCGUGGGUCCGCCCUGUCGGCGAGUCGAGCGCCUCUUCCCGCCGUUUGUCCCCGCUUUUCCUCCAGUUCCUUCCCAUUUUCUCCUUUUCUCCCGCCAUUCUCUCUCCCGCUCGCCUCCUAGCUGGCCGUCAUGGCACCGAAGAAGUACGUCGUCCCCUGCGCCGCGGCAACCGCGACCGCCUCCAUCGCCAGCCGAAGCAGAGGAAGCCGAGGGCGCCGCCGUCCAAGCCGCCGGGCAUGACAUACAAGCCGGACGCGCCGGCUCCGGGCGCGUCAGAAGGGCGGCCGGACGGCAACAAAGGUGCCAAGAAGGGGAAACACGCAGACGCGGCCACUGCUCGCGUGCAGGAAUCCAUCCAGCACUGCCUUGCCGACGCACAGGCCCGGGCCGUCCUUCGUGAAGAGAAGACCGAGGCGCGGUGGUCGGCGUUGAUGUCAACAAGCGCCGUCAAGCUCGACCUACUCCGGGCCAACGUCGCCGCGAAGAAGAGGAACACCGACCUGGCUUUCCUGCUGGGCGGGGCGGACAUGCUCCAGAGCACCGAUGAGGCGGUCAAGGCGUGGUACAGGGCGCAUGUCGGCCUCAUCCUGGACCAGCUUCCCUCGACGACGCCGCCCACGCUCACGCCCACGACGACGCCGCCCCCGCCCACGCGCAUGCCGACGCCGCCAACAAGCCCGACCGAUGAUGCCACCGAGACUGCCCGCAGCGCAGAAGCCAUGCCGCCAAGCACAGAGACCCCGUCAAGCCUGCACACGCCGACUCCCCCGACGCCGGAGGCCGACCUCGCCGUCUAAUGCGCGUUUCUGUUCUGAUUUUUGUACGUCGAACUUUUCAUCGAUCGCCGAUCACCGCUUGAUCGCCGUAUUGCGGCGUUUAUUUUUAGACGCAGGAAUGAACUACGUUUGAAUUUGCCAAGGCGGGGGGGUGCCUGGGGCCGUGGCUGGGAGCUAGGCCGCCCCAGAGACCGAACUAGCGCCGGCUCGCCCCCAGGGCGCAGUUUUUCGGCGCCCUGGGGGGCCGAACGGCUGGAGAUGCUCUAAGGAUGCGGCACCUUGGGGAAUAAUGCCUACAUUGCGCAAGCCCAGGAUGAUGACGCUGAUCACUAGCACGAAGGAUACCAACCAGGCUAAGGAUGAAGUACACGAUGCAGGCAAUGAGGACAAUGAAAACAUGCAAUCCGUAAACAUAGCAGCAGCUGCAAGUUCUUCUGUGUAUGAUGAUAUGAUUGCUACUUUUUAAAAGAAAGUGUAUAUGAUAGUUUGAUGUUUCUAUAAGAAAGGAAAAAAUGGUUUGAAUUAAAAAUAUUGAUCAGUACGAAUAAAGAACAGUUAUCAGUUCGAGUGCUCUCUCCUUCCUAUUUUGGUUGAUGUCCACGGACAGACAAAAAAUUGUAUGAAAUGUUUGAUUAUUAUUAGCAUAUAUGUUUAGAUAAUAAAUACCUGUUAGUUCUUCUAUGGAAUUUGAGAAAGUUCGUCUAUGGACCUGAGGAAUAUAUGCUCAAAGAAAAACAAAGAAAAAGCACAUCACAUUUUUAUUUUAGUUCAGCUAUAUAAACUAUGUUGGUUCGAUGAUGAAAGUUUGACUGCUCCACCCAAAACAUUUUCGAAAUGUGAAAAUACCUUAGUACAAACAUAUAGAUAUAUUAGUACAAGUACUUUGUUAUAUAUUAGUAUAAGUACUUUGUUUUCUGGACGGGAAAAACACACGCAAUUUUUUAUUUUUGAAAAAAUACCAUUCAGUUCAACGACAUAACCUAUGCAAGUCUGAAGACUAUGGUACCGUAAACAGUUGAAAAAGUUACGAGAAAAAUGAAAAAUGAAAUUAAAAAACAGAGUAAAGUCUAGUCUAUAAAAACACGCUCAGUACAAACCCAAAAUGGAGAUCAGUUUGAGCACUCGGUUUUCAGAAGAAUUCAAAAUUAAUCUAUCAAAAAUACCUCAGUACAAACACACAAAUAGAUCAGUGCGAGUACUCUGUUUUUCGACAGAAAAACCAACGCGACGGGUCUCCACCGUGGUUGCAUAACACUUAUAAGGAAAUGGUUGCAUAAUCAACUUAAACAUCCACUUACAAAGGUGGCUACUACAACCAUGGCAGUUGCACACACCAAAGUAAACUAUUACAUCCAUAAUUACAUAGGUGGCUACUACACACAUGCCAUUUCCACACACCAAAGUAAACUAUAUAUUACAUGCAUGAUUAACUAGGAUAAACGAUCAUCUGAUCAUCAUCUACUUCUUGUGAUGCUUGCUCUGGUUGUGACUCGAUCCGGCCUCAUUGAUCUCCAUAACAAGGCACUUCCUCAUGUCAACGAUCCUCCUGUGCAUCUCGUAGCAUGUGUACACGCUCUUGUCCACGAACCUGAGGUGAGGUUCAUCCAGUUGCCACAUCCAGGCCCCAUGCCAGGAUACGGGAUGUGUUUUGUUGGCAUCCUGUUUCAUAUUUUCGUAGUAUGGGUCGAUGAUGGCCGAGGCGAGUUCAAUCAGGGAGUCCUUCUUCGUGCUGCCCCAGACCCUGUAGUGCUCACGGAUUUCGACAAGGUUCUGGCAGGCCAAGCCUGUAACCCUGAGCGCUUUUACAUCGUCGGUGGUUUCCACCGUGGCGAACUUGUAGUCGGUGUUGUUGACAAACCUGGUCAAACAGUCGCAAGGCUCUGUGGCCAUGCAGCAGUGGUAGAUGAGGACAUGACGGCGCACACACAACUGGGCGACGACAACCUUCUGAUCUAUGUCGGGAUGACCGGCGGUGUACUGGAGGUCAAUGCCGACCACCUUGUACUUGUCUCGAGCAAGCAACUGCUCAACGGUGUUGAUGUAGUCGUCCACCACGCCUGGGUCGAUGGUGUACACCAGUGAGAGAUCCGUCUCCCUCGCGUGGGUCUCCACUUUAUGCUCGCCGAACUCCAUUGGAGCACCGCUAGACAUCCCCUCUCUAUGUGUCAUCGUGCGUGUGCUUGUUGUGUUGUGGGACGCGAUCGAAAGGUUUAAGAGACUAAGGUUAUAAUGGCGGCACGAAUUAAAGGGGAAGUCGGACGGCCUGGAAUAUCGGCAGGCCCUGAUGGCAGUUCUAAUUUGCAGCGCGUAACUCCAUCAUGCCGCACGUAACUGCAUCGCGUGGCAACACGGGCGACCGCAUGCAUAUGGGGCCCCCGACGUGAUCGUGCGCACGCUCGACCGCUGGUAGAGCAUGCACGGAGGGACGCGAGCAGAGCGCUCUGCGGUCGCCUCAACGGCGAGCAACCAUAUAUAUGCAUAUAACAGUUGAACACGCGAGGAAAAACUAUCCACAAGCUGAGCGCGGCGACGGACGCGAGUAGAGCGCGCCGCGGCGCCUAACGGCAAGCACAGUGCACUGCGGCGCCUAACAGCGAGCAGAGCUUGCCGAGGGACGCGAGCAGAGGCCGGCACAGUGAUACGUGGCAAAUAAGAUGAACUAUGCGAACGAUGUCGGAGACAUCAAACCCAAAUCAGAUUAGAGUUGCGUGAGCGAUACGUGGCAUACAGUUGAUCCAUCCGAGCUGUUUGUGAUGGAAUAAGCCGUGUGUGUUGCGGGCAAACUCUUGCUGGUAUAUAACCUUAAAUUUAACCAAUGCUGUCAUAGACUUUUUUUGUAUUAACCAUAUGUGUACGUGUCCUUUCGUCCUCCUCUCGCACGUCUUGUCACCCCGCUGCCGCAGACGGCUUACAGCGCAAGCUUGCGCAGCAUUCUUUUGGCCAAACGGUGGCUCGAAGUGGCACCAAUGAACCGUCGGUGAGCCUGUUCCCGCGCAACCUCGCAGGUUCCCGUGCAAGCUUCCCGCCCGACUCGGUGAAAUCUGCCAAAAUCCCAAUGCGUAUCGGCCUGCUAUAUAAACCCUCACGGCCAGCGAGUCCUAUGUCGCAUUUCCCCUCCCUCCCUGUAGCUUAUCUCGUCUGCUUCACCCACAAUCGCCAAUGGCACCGGUUCGUCGUCGUCGCUCAGCCACUCCGCCAUCAUCAGAGGACAGCUCUAGCUGGGAGGCUACACCGCGGCGGCGGCGCAGUCCCCGGCGUAGUGUAGUGCGUGUGGUGUCCCUGUUGGGUGUGCGCGGAACACCCACCACACGCUCUGCUGCCGCUGCCCGUCGGCAGCUGUUGCCGGCCGCCGUUGCCGCCACACCACCGUCGAAAGCCAGCACCAUCGCCCGCUCCGCCGCCGCGGCUAGAAGGCGGGAGGUGGCUGUCGUGGCUGCCACCCCACUGCCGGCCACCGUGGCCAUCACCCGCUCCGCCACCGCGGGCCGAAGGUGGGAGGUGGUGGUCGUGGCCGCCACCCUAUUGUCGGCCGCCGUGGCCGCCAGCCCACCGUCGACCGCCGGGAUCAUCACCCGCUCCGCCACCAUCGCCCGAAGGAGGGAGGCGGAGGUGGAGGCCCGCACGUGCGUCAGCGACCUUGCGUGCUACAUCGAGUUCCUGCGAGAGGAGGAGGAGCGCCUCGUCGAGCACACAAAGAGCCUUACCGCAGCCGUGGCCGCAGCACACGCCGACGCAGAGGCGAGGAAUCAGGAGAUCUACGAGUAGUCCGACUGCUUCGAGAGGGGGCGUCUGGAGUGGCAGAGGGUGUUCGAGCUGGUGAGCGUCGCUGAACGUGCAGCAGCGGCAAGCACCGUAUUGCAGUUGUCCAGCUCAUCGGUAGGCUCCUCCUCCUCUGCCUCUUACUGAGCGCGCUCGGCAGAGGAGAGGCUGCCGGAAGUAGUACAAAGCCCCUCCGUAGUAGUAGUAUUUAGGGCUAUUUUGUUCAGUUCAUCUGAUUAUAGAUGUGAUGGAACUGUACAACGUACUUAAACUUAGCUAGUAUAUAUAGUUGAACUUGCUAUUUUAGUACAUGGUUAGCAACAAUUGGGGAAAAGUUUGGUCGGUUCAGCUGUCGAGUUGAACUAUUUGUAUAAAUUAAGAACGACUGCUUAAUCUAUGAAUGAAAUCUAUGCUUAAUUACUGAAUUUUAGUUGCAAAAAUUAGAUAGUGCUAGUGAUUUUUAGCUGCAUAUUUUGACAAAUCGCAGUGUUACAAGGAUUGACAGAUGGCAAUGUUACUAGAUCAACAAAUGUCAAUCUUUCCAAUUUGACAAAUGUCAACAUACCCAAUAUGACAGAUGCAAAUCAUACCAAAUUUUUUGUACGUGGUUGCACACGGGUCAUCCAAAAUAACCGUUUGUGUUGAAGGGAUGAACAAAUCUUGCACUGAGAAUUUUCCCUCGACUUAAGGGGGAAGACCAUAGCUCUCACUUUGCAGACGAGUGUUCUAUCUAAAACAUUUACAAUCAAGAGCUGCAGAAAUCCUACCGGGAACAUUUUCUCUUGGCUUCCUUUGGAAGCUGUCGGUUUGCAUACGGGUGUUCUAACUAAAAGGUUUGCGAUCAAGAGCUGCACAAAUCCUGCUCGACACAUUUUCCCCUUGCUUCCUGGGGAAGCUGUCAGUUUGCAUACGGGUGUUCUAACUAAAACAUUUACGAUGAGUGUUUUAUAUUUAAAAACCGUAUUAAACCACGGCAUGGGCGCCAUUAAUGGAGAGGAUGCGAGCAAGGCGGGUGGCCAUGAAAGUCAAAGGGCUCGCUUCCCGAUGAGCCCGCGCGGCAUAUAGCUUGCACGCUCCCCGGUGAACCUUCGCAUUGGAGUACAGCUCGCACGCCUCCCGUUUAGUCAAGCACUCAAGCACCUGUCCGCACGGCACCUCCUAGCCAUUAAAAGAGUGAGGCGUGGCAUCACGUGAAUGGUUAACAGAACGCACAUGAUUUAAAUUAUACCAAACAUUUGAGAUGUUACAGUGGCAGCUAUUUGUUUCAAAUUGCCUUUGUUGGUUGUUAUUCGAGUGCGCCUUCGCUCAAAAUGGACACGAAAAAUACCACAACAUGUCGGGUGCCAUUCCAUGAUAGCAUGCCAAGUUUCAUGAAUUUCAGACGAGUUUUGGAUUUACUAAAAUUUAAAAACAAAGUAUCUCAACGUUUUGCCGGCAAUCUACAGUGCCCUGGUGUUUGAAAUUCAUUCCCAUUUCAUGCAUGGGACUUAAGCAUGCACCAAAGUACACAGAUUUUAUAUUUCAACCAAUUUAUAUGCACUUGAGCAUGUGCAUGUAGUUCAAAUUUGAAUUAUGCACAUAAAAUGCCAAAAAAACCCAGUUAAUGUAUAAAAAUGUCCAAACUACCCCAAAAAUUCCAAAAAUUAACACAACACUGCUUUUGUUCUGUGUUGACACUAUAAAAUUUUCGAAAGCAAUAAGAGGCAACGGAUAUCGUUUCGUCCCCAAAGGUGGCACGUUUCCUACCGAAACCAUCACGCUUGUUAUGAGAAGGUAUGGUUUGUGAGAAGUUUAUACCCAAACCUGCCCCAAAUGGCACAAAUUUUUUACCAUGGCAUGUUGAUGCCGCUCCAUGAUAGCAUGCCAUGUUUCAUGAAUUUCAGACGAGUUUUGGAUUUAGUAGAAUUUAAAAACCAGGUAUCUCAAUGUUUGCGGCCGAGUGACGGUGGCAGGAUGUUUGACAUUCAUUCCCAUUUCUUGCAUGGAACCUAAGCAUGCAACCAAGGACACAGAUUUGGUUUUUCAACCACUUUAUAUGCACUAGAGCAUGUGCAUGUAGUUCAAAUUUGAAUUAUGCACAUAGAAUGCCUAGAAACCCAGUUAAUGUAUAAAAAAUAUCCAAAAGAACAUCGAAAAAUUCCAAAAUUUAACACAACACUCCUGUUGUUCUAUGUUGACACUAGAAAAAUUUUGGAAGCAAUAAGAGGCAACGGAUAUCGUUUCGUCCCCAAAGGUGGCACGUUCCCUAUCGAAACCAUCACGCUUGUUGUGAGAAGCUUAUACCCAAACCUGCCCCAAAUGGGACAAAAAUUUUACCACGACAUGUUGGUGCCGUUCCAUGAUAGCAUGCCAAGUUUCAUGAAUUUUAGACGAGUUUUGGAUUUACUAGAAUUUAAAAACUAGGUAUCUCAAUGUUUGCGGCCGAGUGACGUUGGCAUGGUGUUUGACAUUCAUUCCCAUUUAUUGCAUGGGACCUAAGCUUGCAACCAAGGACAUAGAUUUGAUUUUUCAGCCGAAUUAUAUGCACUGGAGCAUGUGCAUGUAGUUCAAAUUUGAAUUAUGCACAUAACCCAGUUAAUGUAUAAAAAUGUCCAAACGAACCCCAAAAAAUUACAAAAUUUAACACAACACUCCUGUUGUUCUAUGUUGACACUAAAAAAAUAUUGAAAGCAAUAAGAGGCAACGGAUAUCGUUUCGUCCUCAAAGGUGGCACGUUCCCUACCAAAACCAUCACGCUUGUUGUAGAAGCUUUGGUUUGUGAGAAGCUUAUACCCAAACCUGCCCCAAAUGGGACAAAAAAUUCACCACGACAUGUUGAUGCCGCUCCGUGAUAGCAUGCCAAGUUUCAUGAAUUUCAGACGAGUUUUGGAUUUACUAGAAUUUAAAAACCAGGUAUCUCAAUGUUUGUGGCCGAUUGACGGUGGCAGGGUGUUUGACAUUCAUUCCCAUUUCUUGCAUGGGACCUAAGCAUGCAACCAAGGACACAUAUUUGUUUUUUCAACCAAUUUAUAUGCACAGGAGCAUGUGCAUGUAGUUCAAAUUUGAAUUUUGCACAUAAAAUGCCUAGAAAACCCAGUUAAUGUAUAAAAAUGUCGAAACGAACACCGAAAAAAUUCCAAAAUUUAACACAACACUCCUGUUGUUCUAUGUUGACACUAGAAGGUUUUUGAAAGCAAUAACAGGCAACGGAUAUUGUUUCAUCCCCAAAGGUGGCACGUUCCUUACUGAAACUAUCACGCUUGUUGUGAGAAGGUCUGGUUUGUGAGAAGCUUACACCCAAACCUGCCCCAAAUGGGGCAAAAAAUUUACCACGGCAUGUUGCUGCCGCUCCAUGAUAGCAUGCCAAGUUUCAUGAAUUUUAGACGAGUUUUGGAUUUACUAGAGUUUAAAAACCAGGUAUCUCAAUGUUUGCGGCCGAGUGACGGUGGCAGGGUGUUUGACAUUCAUUCCCAUUUCUUGCAUGGGACCUAAGCAUGCAACCAAGGACACAGAUUUGUUUUUCAACCAAUUUAUAUGCACUGGAGCAUGUGCAUGUAGUUCAAAUUUGAAUGAUGCACAUAAAAUGCCUAGAAAACCCAGUUAAUGUAUAAAAAUGUCCAAACGAACCCCGAAAAAUUCCAAAAUUUAACACAACACUCCUGUUGUUUUAUGUUGACACUAGAAAUUUUUUGAAAGCAAUAAGAGGCAACGGAUAUAGUUUCGUCCCCAAAGGUGGCACAUUCCCUACCGAAAUCAUCACGCUAGUUGUGAGAAGCUCUGGUUUAUGAGAAGCGUAUACCAAAACCUGCCCCAAAUGGGACAAAAAAUUUACCAUGGCAUGGUGAUGCUGCUCCAUGAUAGCACGACAAGUUUCAUGAAUUUUAGAUGAGUUUUGGAUUUACUAGAAUUUAAAAACCAGGUAUCUCAAUGUUUGCGGCCGAGUGACGGUGGAAGGGUGUUUGACAUUCAUUCCCAUUUCUUGCAUGGGACCUAAGCAUGCAACGAAGGACACAUAUUUGAUUUUUCAACCGAAUUAUAUGCACUAGAGCAUGUGCAUGUAGUUCAAAUUUGAAUUAUGCACAUAAAAUGCCUAGAAAACCCAGUUAAUGUAUAAAAAUGUCCAAACGAACCCCCAAAAAUUUCAAAUUUGGACACAGCACCCCUGUUUUUCUAUGUUGAUACUAAAAAAUAUUGAAAGCAAUAAGAGGCAACAGAUAUCGUUUUGUCCUCAAAGGUGGCAUGUUCCCUACCGAAACCAUUACGCUUGUUGUGAUAAGCUUAUACCCAAACCUGCCGCAGAUGGGACAAAAAAUUUACCACGGCAUGUUGAUGCUUCUCCAUGAUAGCAUGCCAAGUUUCAUGAAUUUGAGACGAGUUUAGGAUUUACUAGAGUUUAAAAACCACGUACCUCAAUGUUUGCGGCCGAGUGAUGGUGGCAGGGUGUUUGACAUUCAUUCCCAUUUCUUGCAUGGGACCUAAGCAUGCAACCAAGGACACAGAUUUGAUUUUUCAACCAAUUUAUAUGCAAAGGAGCAUGUGCAUGUAGUUCAAAUUUGAAUUCUGCACAUAAAAUGCCUAGAAAACCCAGUUAACGUAUAAAAAUGUCGAAACGAACACCGAAAAAAUUCCAAAAUUUAACACAACACUCCUGUUGUUCUAUGUUAACACUAGAAGGUUUUUGAAAGCAAUAACAGGCAACGGAUAUUGUUUCAUCCCCAAAGGUGGCACGUUCCUUACUGAAACCAUCACGCUUGUUGUGAGAAGGUCUGGUUUGUGAGAAGGUUACACCCAAACCUGCCCCAAAUGGGGCAAAAAAUUUACCACGGCAUGUUGCUGUCGUUCCAUGAUAGCAUGCCAAGUUUCAUGAAUUUUAGACGAGUUUUGGAUUUACUAGAAUUUAAAAACCAGGUAUCUCAAUGUUUGCGGCCGAGUGACGGUGGCAGGGUGUUUGACAUUCAUUCCCAUUUCAUGCAUGGGACCUAAGCAUGCAACCAAGGACACAUAUUUGUUUUUCAACCAAUUUAUAUGCACCGGAGCAUGUGCAUGUAGUUCAAAUUUGAAUGAUGCACAUAAAAUGCCUAGAAAACCUAGUUAAUGUAUAAAAAUGUCCAAACGAACCUCGAAAAAUUCCAAAAUUUAACACAACACUCCUGUUGUUCUAUGUUGACACUAGAAAUUUUUUGAAAGCAAUAAGAGGCAACGGAUAUAGUUUCGUCCCCAAAGGUGGCACAUUCCCUACCGAAAUCAUCACGCUAGUUGUGAGAAGCUCUGGUUUAUGAGAAGCGUAUACCAAAACCUGCCCCAAAUGGCACAAAAAAUUUACCAUGGCAUGGUGAUGCUGCUCCAUGAUAGCAUGCCAAGUUUCAUGAAUUUUAGACGAGUUUUGGAUUUACUAGAAUUAAAAAACCAGGUAUCUCAAUGUUUGCGGCCGAGUGACGGUGGCAGGGUGUUUGACAUUCAUUCCCAUUUCUUGCAUGGGACCUAAGCAUGCAACCAAGGACACAGAUUUGUUUUUCAACCAAUUUAUAUGCACUAGAGCAUGUGCAUGUAUUUCAAAUUUGAAUGAUGCACAUAAAAUGCCUAGAAAACCCAGUUAAUGUAUAAAAAUGUCCAAACGAACCCCAAAAAAUUCCAAAAUUUAACACAACACUCCUGUUGUUCUAUGUUGACACUAGAAUUUUUUUGAAAGCAAUAAGAGGCAACGGAUAUUGUUUCGUCCCCAAAGGUUGCACAUUCCCUACCGAAAUCAUCACGCUAGUUGUGAGAAGCUCUGGUUUGUGAGAAGCGUAUACCAAAACCUGCCCCUAAUGGGACAAAAAAUUUACCAUGGCAUGGUGAUGCCGCUCCAUGAUAGCAUGCCAAGUUUCAUGAAUUUUAGACGAGUUUUGGAUUUACUAGAAUUUAAAAACCAGGUAUCUCAAUGUUUGCGGCCGAGUGACGGUGGAAGGGUGUUUGACAUUCAUUCCCAAUUCUUGCAUGGGACCUAAGCAUGCAACCAAGGACACAUAUUUGAUUUUUCAACCGAAUUAGCAUGUGCAUGUAGUUCAAAUUUGAAUUAUGCACAUAAAAUGCCUAGAAAACCCAGUUAAUGUAUAAAAAUGUCCAAACGAACCCCCAAAAAUUUCAAAAUUUAACACAACACUCCUGUUGUUCUAUGUUGACACUAAAAAAAUAUUCAAAGCAAUAAGAGGCAACAUAUAUCGUUUCGUCCUCAAAGGUGGCACGUUCCCUACCGAAACCAUUACGCUUGUUGUGAGAAGCUUAUACCCAAACCUGCCCCAGAUGGGACAAAAAAUUUACCACGACACGUUGAUGCCGCUCCAUGAUAGCAUGCCAAGUUUCAUGAAUUUGAGACGAGUUUUGGAUUUACUAGAGUUUAAAAACCACGUACCUCAAUGUUUGCGGCCGAGUGACGGUGGCAGGGUGUUUGACAUUCAUUCCCAUUUCUUGCAUGGGACCUAAGCAUGCAACCAAUGACACAAAUUUGAUUUUUCAACCAAUUUAUAUGCACUGGAGCAUGUGCAUGUAGUUCAAAUUUGAAUUAUGCACAUAAAAUGCCUAGAAAACCCAGUUAAUGUAUAAAAAUGUCCCAACGAACCCCCAAAAAUUACAAAACUUAACACAACACUCCUUUUGUUCUAUGUUGAUACUAAUUUUUUUUGAAAGCAAUAAGAGGCAAUGGAUAUUAUUUCAUCCUCAAAGGUUGCACAUUCCCUACCGAAACCAUCACGCUUGUUGUGAGAAGCUUAUACCCAAACCUGCCCCAAAUGGGACAAAAAAAUUUACCACGGCGUGUUGAUGCUGCUCCAUGAUAGCAUGCUAGCAUGGCCGUUGUCGAGUCUAGAAGAAAACUUUUUCGGAGUCUAGUUAUAUCAGAGAGUAAGAAUUCUUUUUACUCCUUUGUCCCUUAGUCGCUCUAGUGAGAAAUCUUGACGUACGUGUUUUGAUAUACUCCUCUUCCCCUUCACAUUUUUUUAGGAUCACACAGUUAGUUUCUGAUCGUUGUGAUGUCAGCUCUUUUGAUCCGGUGCACUUCUCUUUGAGUCAUUCAAUCCUCGUCGUCUUUUUGCGAGAUCAUUCCUCAGUUUGUUCUCAACGACAUUGUUUCUUUGUCCGAAGAUAAACAAUGUCGUCUGUAGUUGUCUUUCUUUUUCCCAACCGCCCACCCUUUUUCUUCUCGGAGCCGGAGUUCGUAAUCGAGUAUCCAUCCUACGCGUGCCAAGCCUUUGCAUCUUUCCUCAAUUAUUUCAAUCGGUGCUUUUCUCUUCAAGUUAUUCGUCGGUUCACCGUUCCAAGUUUCCUUUGUUUUUUCCGCCCUCCCACCCCUUUUCUUCCAGGAGUCUGAGCCUCUAUUCGAGCAUCAAUUUCAUUCGUACGGAGCCUCUUCAGUCUUUCCUCAAUUGUCUCAACCGGUGAAUUCUCGUCUAGUUUAUCAUUGUUCAUCUCGUUUUCCUUUCGGUGGAUUCAAGUCAAGUUUUCAGGUUAUUCAUAUUCCUUUCCUUGGUUCAAAUGUUUCCCCUUGCUCGUUCGCCUCUUGCCAUUUAAUUGUUCCGGAGUGAUGAAGACAUCUUAGAAGAUUCGUGUUUGCAUUCAAUUAUUUUGAGGUUGUCACCUCAUCCAAGUCUUUCAGUUGUUCUGGUGCGUCAUCUCUUCUUCAAUCCCUCACAACGGUGUUUCUUUUGAGUGGGCCCUAACCCACAGGUCUUUUCCCAGGAUCUUACCCGGCUCUUCUAAUUUUCCGGAGUUAUUCUCGAAUUCUUUCGAAGUUUGACAUAAGAAUGAAUUUCAUCAGCCAGAUGCUUUUUCAAGAUCGAUUUCAAAUUAUUUUCAUUGUCGGCUCAACCUCUUCGUUUUUCAUUUCCCGGAGUAUCUCAACAAUUUUUGUGGUGUUCCUCGUCUUCAUUAUCAGCAUUGAAGACCGAAUCUUGCUCCGUUCUCUUGAAGAUUCGUGGUGCUAGCUCGCUGUUAUCCUCUCAAAUUGUUUCCAAUCGUGCGAUUCGUUUCUUACCCAUCUAGAGUAUUUCAGGAGUUGUUUUCCGUUUUGAUUAUCCGGAGACCUUCAUUUCGGAAUAUUUCUUCGCUCCAAGUUUUCAGGUUCGUCUCCAAUUAUUCUAAACUGAUGCCACUUCGUUCGUCUCCAUAUUCGUACCGGUGCAUUGUUCAAGAAUUCUUUAGUCAGCUUGUGAUAUCUUCAUUCUUUUGCAUCUAAAUCCCCUCAAACAUAUUUGUUCUUCUAAUUCUUCCCGGUGAUUCAUUCUCUUUUCUUCGUUCGUUUCAUUUCUUAUGGUGGUUCAUGAAUACCUUCCCAAUUUUUUCCCUAUAUCUCCACUUAAUCUUUUCCAACGCAAAUAAGUAGUAUGCAAAUCCAUUGCUUCUCAUCAAUUUAAUUGGUAAAGGAUAAGCAUAACAUAAUUCUUAUUCUUCUUUCGUCAAGUUGAUUAAUCUCUUCUUUUCGGAGUUUGUUCGUCAUAUCACAUUCUUAGUUCGAAGUUUUUUCACCUUUUCUUUCCCCAAGUUCAAAGUUUCCUCGGUCGUCUCGUCGGAACCUCCAUCUAAAUCACUACAAAGCUUUAAUCUUAUUCUUUUCAUCCUUCAAUUCUAUCUCAUCAUCCUUCUGUUACUGGAGUUCUUCACGGUGGUUCGCAAGGAUUUAAUUCAUCCUUCAAGUGUUCAUCAAGGUUCUUGUUGGAGGAGCUCAAGUAUCUUUUCCUCUUUGUGAUCGAAGUCCAAUUAAUUCUCCAUAUUCUUUUGAAGUGGAGUUUUGCAUUUCUUCGUUCUUCUCAGCCAUUCAAUCAUUUAGUAGUGGCAGAAAUUCACCUCAAGUUUUGAGAUGUUUACAUAAGCCCACGCAAAGCAAUUCUUUUGUUGUUGAUUUUCUCAACAACUCCGUUCAACCCUUCCUUCUAAGGAUGCUUUCGAUUUCAUUCGUGGUAGAAGUUGUCAUCUUUUUCUCCGUUCUUUUCAUUCCACUUUUUCAAUUCUUCCGGAGGCAUUGUGUUGUUCCUCUCGUCAAGCAUCGUCCCAUCUUGUCAAGAUCAUGUUCUAUUCUUUCCAUGUUCAGCCGGAGUGCUGCCUAAAUUCUUUCAUUCUUGUUCCUUUUCUAUCUUGUUCUAACCGGAGUGGCUUUGAUUCUCAUCAUAAUUGUGAUUCCUCUUUCUACCCGAGUGCUCUCAACCUUGUUCAUCUCUUGCGCUUUUGUUUUACCUCAUCCUCGUUUCCCCUUCCGUCUCGUUCCUAAGAUCUCUGGAAGAGAUCUUCAAUUAGUGGAGGAGAGUUGUAACGCCCCGAGACCGAUGCGCCAAGUGUCUUCUGUUUAUUCGCCGUCAUUGCCAUGUCAUUUUCUUGUGUGUUGCACUUGGCCAUGUCAUCAUCUGCAUUUCAUCAGCAUGUUGUCAAAACUUGCAUCCGUUCGGGUCUCUCAGUUCUCUCCGUUGUCCGUUCUGAGCCCAGACGCUCUCACAUGCACCCGUCGCACCUCCCAGAUCUUGUUUCGUGAGUGGGAGAAAAAAGUUCUCGUAAUGGGCAAGAGUUGACGAGCGGUUUUGGUACAUCACCGGUAGACCGCCUGUCAAAUUUCGUUCCAUUUGGAGAUCGUUUGAUGCCCCAACGGUUAACCGCAUUAACCGCCGGAUCCCUCUCUCUUUGCAGCCCAACACCCCUCCACAACAGCCCACUAGCCCAUCUAAACCCACUCCAUGCUCUUCGCCAUUGGAUCACGAUCGUGUGGGUGAAAACCGCACCUCCAUAGCCCUCUCCUAGCUCCCUCUACCUAUAAGUAAGCACCUCCCCCUCCAUUUUCGGGCAAAACUCUAGCCAUCCCCUCCCCGCGCCGCCGGACACGUCCACCGCGCAGCCGGAUGCUGAAGGAAAUAUGCCCUAGAGGCAAUAAUAAAGUAUUAUUUAUUUCCUUAUAUCAUGAUAAAUGUUUAUUAUUCAUGCAAGAAUUGUAUUAACCGGAAACAUAAUACAUGUGUGAAUACAUAGACAAACAGAGUGUCACUAGUAUGCCUCUACUUGACUAGCUCGUUAAUCAAAGAUGGUUAUGUUUCCUAGCCAUAGACAUGAGUUGUCAUUUGAUUAAUGGGAUCACCUCAUUAGGAGAAUGACGUGAUUGACUUGACCCAUUCCGUUAGCUUAGCACCCGAUCGUUUAGUAUGUUGCUAUUGCUUUCUUCAUGACUCAUACAUGUUCCUAUGACUAUGAGAUUAUGCAACUCCCGUUUACCGGAGGAACACUUUGUGUGCUACCAAACGUCACAACGUAAAUGGGUGAUCAUAAAGGUGCUCUACAGGUGUCUCCAAAGGUACUUGUUGGGUUGGCGUAUUUCGAGAUUAGGAUUUGUCACUCCGAUUGUCGGAGAGGUAUCUCUGGGCCCACUCGGUAAUGCACAUCACUAUAAGCCUUGCAAGCAUUGUGACUAAUGAGUUAGUUGCGGGAUGAUGUAUUACGGAACGAGUAAAGAGACUUGCCGGUAACGAGAUUGAACUAGGUAUCAAGAUACCGACGAUCGAAUCUCGGGCAAGUAACAUACCAAUGACAAAGGGAACAACGUAUAUUGUUAUGCGGUCUGACCGAUAAAGAUCUUCGUAGAAUAUGUGGGAGCCAAUAUGGGCAUCCAGGUCCCGCUAUUGGUUAUUGACCGAAGAGGUGUCUCGGUCAUGUCUACAUAGUUCUCGAACCCAAAGGGUCCGCACGCUUAAAGUUAUGAUGACAGUUAUAUUAUGAGUUUAUAUGUUUUGAUGUACCGAAGGUUGUUCGGAGUCCCGGAUGUGAUCACGGACAUGACGAGGAGUCUCGAAAUGGUCGAGACAUAAACAUUGAUAUAUUGGACGACUAUAUUCGGACAGCAGAAGUGUUCCGGAGAAGUUUCGGAUUAAACCGGAGUGCCGGAGGGUUACCGGAACCCCCCGGGGAAGUAUUGGGCCUUAGUGGGCCUUGAGGGGAGAGAGAGGGCAGCAGCCAGGAGGUGGCGCGCCCCCUCCCAGGAGGAGUCCUAGUUGGACUAGGAGAGGGGGGCGCAGCCCCCUUUCCCUCUCCCUCUCCCUCUCUUUCCUUCCCCCCUUCUUUUCCUAGUAGGACUAGGAAAGGGGAGUCCUACUCCUACUAGGAGGAGGACUCCCCCUCUCUCCUUGGCGCGCCUAGGGCAGCCAGCCUCCCCCUUGCUCCUUUAUAUACGGGGGCAGGGGGGCACCUCUAUACAUACUUGAUAUACGAUAUUUUAUCCGUGUGCGGUGCCCCUCUCCACCAUAUUACACCUCGAUAAUACCGUUGCGGAGCUUAGGCGAAGCCCUGCGUUGGUGGAACAUCAUCAUCGUCACCACGCCGUCGUGCUGACGAAACUCUCCCUCAACACUCGGCUGGAUCGAAGUUCGAGGGACGUCAUCGAGCUGAACGUGUGUAGAACUUGGAGGUGCCGUACGUUCGGUACUUGAUCGGUCGGAUCGUGAAGACGUACGACUACAUCAACCGCGUUGUGAUAACGCUUCCGCUGUCGGUCUACGAGGGUACGUGGACAACACUCUCCCCUCUCGUUGCUAUGCAUCACCAUGAUCUUGCGUGUGCGUAGGAAUUUUUUUGAAAUUACUACGUUCCCCAACAGUGGUAUCAGAGCCUGGUUUUAUGCGUUGAUGCUAUGCACGAGUAGAACACAAGUGAGUUGUGGGCGAUAUAAGUCAUACUGCUUACCAGCAUGUCAUACUUUGGUUCAGCGGUAUUGUGAGAUGAAGCGGCCCGGACCGACAUUACGCGUACGCUUACGCGAGACUGGUUUCACCGUUCGGAGCACUCGUUGCUUAAAGGUGACUGGCGGGUGUCUGUCUCUCUCGAUUUAGUUGAACCGAGUGUGGCUACGCCCGGUCCUUGCGAAGGUUAAAACAGCACCAACUUGACAAACUAUCGUUGUGGUUUUGAUGCGUAGGUAAGAACGGUUCUUGCUAGCCCGUAGCAGCCACGUAAAACUUGCAACAACAAAGUAGAGGACGUCUAACUUGUUUUUGCAGGGCAUGUUGUGAUGUGAUAUGGUCAAGACAUGAUGUGAUAUAAUUUGUUGUAUGAGAUGAUCAUGUUUUGUAACCGAGUUAUCGGCAACUGGCAGGAGCCAUAUGGUUGUCGCUUUAUUGUAUGAGAUGCAAUCACCAUGUAAUAGUUUUACUUUAUCACUAAGCAGUAGCGAUAGUCGUAAAAGCAAUUAGUUGGCGAGACGACAACGAUACUACGAUGGAGAUCAAGGUGUCGCGCCGGUGACGAUGGUGAUCAUGACGGUGCUUCGGAGAUGGAGAUCACAAGCACGGUGCUUCGGAGAUGGAGAUCACAGGCACAAGAUGAUGAUGGCCAUAUCAUAUCACUUAUAUUGAUUGCAUGUGAUGUUAAUCCUUUAUGCAUCUUAUCUUGCUUUGAUUGACGGUAGCAUUAUAAGAUGAUCUCUCACUAAAAUUUCAAGAUAAAAGUGUUCUCCCUGAGUAUGCACCGUUGCGAAAGUUCUUCGUGCUGAGACACCACGUGAUGAUCGGGUGUGAUAGGCUCUACGUUCAAAUACAACGGGUGCAAAACAGUUGCACACGCGGAAUACUCAGGUUAAACUUGACGAGCCUAGCAUAUGCAGAUAUGGCCUCGGAACACGGAGACCGAAAGGUCGAGCGUGAAUCAUAUAGUAGAUAUGAUCAACAUACUGAUGUUCACCAUUGAAACUACUCCAUCUCACGUGAUGAUCGGACAUGGUUUAGUUGAUUUGGAUCACGUAAUCACCUAGAUGAUUAGAGGGAUGUCUAUCUAAGUGGGAGUUCUUAAGUAAUAUGAUUAAUUGAACUUGAAUUUAUCAUGAACUUAGUCCUGAUAGUAUUUUGCAAAUUAUGUUGUAGAUCAAUGGCUCGCGUUGUUGCUUCCCUGUGUUUAUUUUUGAUAUGUUCCUAGAGAAAAAUUAUGUUGAAAGAUGUUAGUAGCAAAGAUGCGGAUUGGAUCCGUGAUCUGAGGAUUAUCCUCAUUGCUGCACAGAAGAAUUAUGUCCUUGAUGCACCGCUAGGUGACAGACCUAUUGCAGGAGCAGAUGCAGACGUUAUGAACGUUUGGCUAGCUCAAUAUGAUGACUACUUGAUAGUUUAGUGCACCAUGCUUAACGGCUUAGAAUCGGGACUUCAAAGACGUUUUGAACGUCAUGGACCAUAUGAGAUGUUUCAGGAGUUGAAGUUAAUAUUUCAAGCAAAUACCCGAGUUGAGAGAUAUGAAGUCUCCAACAAGUUCUAUAGCUAAAAGAUGGAGGAGAAUCGCUCAACUAGUGAGCAUGUGCUCAGAUUGUCUGGGUACUACAAUCGCUUGAAUCAAGUGGGAGUUUAUCUUCCAGAUAAAAUAGUGAUUGACAGAAUUCUCUAGUCACCAUCACCAAGUUAGUAGAACUUCGUGAUGAACUAUAGUAUGCAAGGGAUGACGAAAGUAAUUCCCGAGCUCUUCGUGAUGCUGAAAUCGACGAAGGUAGAAAUCAAGAAAAACAUCAAGUGUUGAUGGUUGACGAGACCACUAGUUUCAAGAAAAGGGCAAAGGGAAGAAGGGGAACUUCAAAAAGAACGGCAAGCAAGUUGCUACUCAAGUGAAGAAGCCCAAGUCUGUACCUAAGCCUGAGACUAAGUGCUUCUACUACAAAGGGACUGGUCACUGGAGGCGGAACUGCCCCAAGUAUUUGGUGGAUAAGAAGGAUGGCAAAGUGAACAAAGGUAUAUUGGAUAUACAUGUUAUUGAUGUGUACUUACUAGUGUUUAUAGCAACCCCUCAGUAUUUGAUACUGGUUCAGUUGCUAAAGAGUAGUAACUCAAAAACGGGAGUUGCAGAAUAAACAGAGACUAGUAAAAGGCGAGGUGACGAUGUGUGUUGGAAGUAGUUCCAAGAUUGAUAUGAUCAUCAUCGCACACUCCCUAUACUUUCGGGAUUAGUGUUGAAACUAAAUAAGUGUUAUUUGGUGUUUGCGUUGAGCAUGAAUAUGAUUUGAUCAUGUUUAUUGCAAUACGGUUAUUCAUUUAAGUUAGAGAACAAUUGUUGUUCUGUUUACAUGAAUAAAAACCUUCUAUGGUCAUACACACCAACAAAAAUGGUUUGUUGGAUCUCGAUCGUAGUGAUAUACAUAUUCAUAAUAAUGAAGCCAAAAGAUGCAAAGUUAAUAAUGAUAGUGCAACUUAUUUGUGGCACUGCCGUUUAGGUCAUAUUGGUGUAAAGCGCAUGAAGAAACUCCAUACUGAUGGGAUUUUGGAAUCACUUGAUGCUUGCGAACCGUGCCUCAUGGGCAAGAUGACUAAAAACGCCGUUCUCCGGAACUAUGGAAAGAGCAACAGAUUUGUUGGAAAUCAUACAUACAGAUGUAUGUGGUCCGAUGAAUAUUGAGGCUCGUAGCAGGUAUCAUUAUUUUCUGACCUUCACAGAUGAUUUGAGCAGAUAUGGGUAUAUCUACUUGAUGAAACAUAAGUCUGAAGCAUUUGAAAAGUUCAAAGAAUUUUAGAGUGAAGUAGAAAAUCAUCGUGACGAGAAAAUGAGGUUUCUAUGAUUUGAUCACGGAGACAAAUAUUUGAGUUACGAGUUUGGUCUUCAAUUAAAACAAUGUCGAAUAGUUUCACAAAUUCACGCCACCUGGAACACCACGGUGUAAUGGUGUGUCCGAACAUCGUAACUGUACUUUAUUAGAUAUGGUGCGAUAUAUGAUGUCUCUUACCGAUCUACCACUAUCGUUUUGGGGUUAUGCAUUAGAGACAGCUGCAUUCACGUUAAAUAGGGCACCAUCAAAAUCCGUUAAGACGACGCCUUAUGAACUGUGGUUUAGCAAGAAACCAAAGUUGUCGUUUCUUAAAAGUUUGGGGUUGCGAUGCUUAUGUGAAAAGGUUUCAUCCUGAUAAGCUCAAACCCAAAUCGGAGAAAUGUGUCUUCAUAGGAUACCCAAAGGAGACAGUUGGGUACACCUUCUAUCACAGAUCCGAAGGCAAGACAUUCGUUGCUAAGAAUGGAUCCUUUCUAGAGAAGGAGUUUCUCUCGAAAGAAGUGAGUGGGAGGAAAGUAGAACUUGAUGAGGUAACUAUACCUGCUCCCUUAUUGGAAAGUAGUUCAUCACAGAAAUCUGUUCCUGUGACUCCUACACCAAUUAGUGAGGAAGUUAAUGAUGAUGAUCAUGUAACUUCAGAUCAAGUUACUACCAAACCUCGUAGGAAAACCAGAGUAAGAUCUGCACCAGAGUGGUACAGUAAUCCUGUUCUGGAGGUUAUGUUACUAGACCAUGAUGAACCUACGAACUAUGAAGAAGCGAUGGUGAGCCCAGAUUCCGCAAAAUGGCUUGAGGCCAUGAAAUCUGAGAUGAGAUCCAUGUAUGAGAACAAAGUGUGGACUUUGGUUGACUUUCCCGAUGAUCGGCAAGCAAUUGAGAAUAAAUGGAUCUUCAAGAGGAAGACGGGCGCUGAUAGUAGUGUUACUAUCUACAAAGCUAGAAUUGUCGCAAAAAGGUUUUCGACAAGUUCAAAGUGUUGACUACGAUGAGAGUUUCUCACUCGUAUCUAUGCUUAAGUCUGUCUGAAUCAUGUCAGCAAUUGCCGCAUUUUAUGAAAUAUGGCAAAUGGAUAAACAAAACUGCAUUCCUUAAUGGAUUUAUUAAAGAAGAGUUGUAUAUGAUGCAACCAGGAAGUUUUGUCAAUCCUAAAAGUGCUAACAAAAUAUGCAAGCUCCAGGGAUCCAUCUAUGGACUGGUGCAAGCAUCUCGGAGUUGGAAUAUACGCUUUGAUAAGUUGAUCAAAGGAUAUAGUUUUAUACAUACUUGUGGUGAAGCCUGUAUUUACAAGAAAGUGAGUGGGAGCACUACAACAUUUCUGAUAAGUAUAUGUGAAUGACAUAUUGUUGAUCGGAAAUAAUGUAGAAUUAUUCUGCAAAGCAUAAAGGAGUGUUUGAAAGGAGUUUUUCAAAGAAAGACCUCGGUGAAGCUGCUUAUAUAUUGAGCAUCAAGAUCUAUAGAGAUAGAUCAAGACGCUUGAUAAGUUUUUUUUUCAAUAAGUACAUACCUUAACAAGAUUUUGAAGUAGUUCAAAAUAGAACAGUCAAAGAAAGAGUUCUUGCCUGUGUUACAAGGUGUGAAAUUGAGUAAGACUCAAAACCCGACCACGGCAGAAGAUAGAAAGAGAAUGAAAGUCAUUCCCUAUGCCUUGGCCAUAGGUUCUAUAAAGUAUGCCAUGCUGUGUACCAGAUCUAUUGUAUACCCUACACUGAUUUUGGCAAGGGAGUACAAUAGUGAUCUAGGAGUAGAUCACUGGACAGUGGUCAAAAUUAUCCUUAGUGGAAUAAGGAUAUGUUUCUCGAUUAUGGAAGUGACAAAAGGUUCGUCGUAAAGGGUUACGUCGAUGCAAGUUUUGACACUAAUCUAGAUGACUCUAAGUCUCGGUCUAGAUACAUGUUGAAAGUAGGAGCAAUUAGCUAGAGUAGCUCCGUGCAGAGCAUUGUAGACAUAGAAAUUUGCAAAAUACUUACGGAUCUGAAUGUGACAGACCCGUUGAACUAAAAUUAUCUCACAAUCAAAAGAUGAUCACACCUUAGUACUCUUUGGGUGUUAAUCACAUAGCGAUGUGAACUAGAUUAUUGACUCUAGUAAACCCUUUGAGUGUUGGUCACAUAGAGAUGUGAACUAUGGGUGUUAAUCACAUGGUGAUGUGAAUUAUUGAUGUUAAAUCACAUGGCGAUGUGAACUAGAUUAUUGACUCUAGUGCAAGUGGGAGACUGAAGGAAAUAUGCCCUAGAGGCAAUAAUAAAGUAUUAUUUAUUUCCUUAUAUCAUGAUAAAUGUUUAUUAUUCAUGCUAGAAUUGUAUUAACCGGAAACAUAAUACAUGUGUGAAUACAUAGACAAACAGAGUGUCACUAGUAUGCCUCUACUUGACUAGCUCGUUAAUCAAAGAUGGUUAUGUUUCCUAGCCAUAGACAUGAGUUGUCAUUUGAUUAACGGGAUCACCUCAUUAGGAGAAUGACGUGAUUGACUUGACCCAUUCCGUUAGCUUAGCACCCGAUCGUUUAGUAUGUUGCUAUUGCUUUCUUCAUGACUCAUACAUGUUCCUAUGACUAUGAGAUUAUGCAACUCCCGUUUACCGGAGGAACACUUUGUGUGCUACUAAACGUCACAACGUAAAUGGGUGAUCAUAAAGGUGCUCUACAGGUGUCUCCAAAGGUACUUGUUGGGUUGGCGUAUUCCAAGAUUAGGAUUUGUCACUCUGAUUGUCGGAGAGGUAUCUCUGGGCCCACUCGGUAAUGCACAUCACUUUAAGCCUUGCAAGCAUUGUGACUAAUGAGUUAGUUGCGGGAUGAUGUAUUACAGAACGAGUAAAGAGACUUGCCGGUAACGAGAUUGAACUAGGUAUCGAGAUACCGACGAUCGAAUCUCGGGCAAGUAACAUACCAAUGACAAAGGGAACAACGUAUGUUGUUAUGCGGUCUGACCGAUAAAGAUCUUCGUAGAAUAUGUGGGAGCCAAUAUGGGCAUCCAGGUCCCACUAUUGGUUAUUGACCGGAGAGGUGUCUCGGUCAUGUCUACAUAGUUCUCGAACCCAAAGGGUCCGCACGCUUAAAGUUACGAUGACAGUUAUAUUAUGAGUUUAUAUGUUUUGAUGUACCGAAGGUUGUUCGGAGUCCCGGAUGUGAUCACGGACAUGACGAGGAGUCUCGAAAUGGACGAGACAUAAAGAUUGAUAUAUUGGACGACUACAUUCUGACACCGGAAGUGUUUCGGAGAAGUUUCGGAUUAAAUCGGAGUGCCGGAGGGUUACCGGAACCCCCCGGAGAAGUAUUGGGCCUUAGUGGGCCUUGAGGGGAGAGAGAGGGCAGCAGCCAGGAGGUGGCGCGCCCCCUCCCAGGAGGAGUCCUAGUUGGACUAGGAGAGGGGGGCGCAGCCCCCUUUCCCUCUCCCUCUCCCUCUCUUUCCUUCCCCCCUUCUUUUCCUAGUAGGACUAGGAAAGGGGAGUCCUACUCCUACUAGGAGGAGGACUCCCCCUCUCUCCUUGGCACGCCUAGGGCAGCCGGCCUCCCCCUUGCUCCUUUAUAUACGGGGGCAGGGGGGCACCUCUAUACACACUUGAUAUACGAUAUUUUAUCCGUGUGCGGUGCCCCUCUCCACCAUAUUACACCUCGAUAAUACCGUUGCGGAGCUUAGGCGAAGCCCUGCGUCGGUGGAACAUCAUCAUCGUCACCACGCCGUCGUGCUGACGAAACUCUCCCUCAACACUCGGCUGGAUCGGAGUUCGAGGGACGUCAUCGAGCUGAACGUGUGUAGAACUUGGAGGUGCCGUACGUUCGGUACUUGAUCGGUCGGAUCGUGAAGACGUACGACUACAUCAACCGCGUUGUGAUAACGCUUCCGCUGUCGGUCUACGAGGGUACGUGGACAACACUCUNNNNNNNNNNNNNNNNNNNNNNNNNNNNNNNNNNNNNNNNNNNNNNNNNNNNNNNNNNNNNNNNNNNNNNNNNNNNNNNNNNNNNNNNNNNNNNNNNNNNNNNNNNNNNNNNNNNNNNNNNNNNNNNNNNNNNNNNNNNNNNNNNNNNNNNNNNNNNNNNNNNNNNNNNNNNNNNNNNNNNNNNNNNNNNNNNNNNNNNNNNNNNNNNNNNNNNNNNNNNNNNNNNNNNNNNNNNNNNNNNNNNNNNNNNNNNNNNNNNNNNNNNNNNNNNNNNNNNNNNNNNNNNNNNNNNNNNNNNNNNNNNNNNNNNNNNNNNNNNNNNNNNNNNNNNNNNNNNNNNNNNNNNNNNNNNNNNNNNNNNNNNNNNNNNNNNNNNNNNNNNNNNNNNNNNNNNNNNNNNNNNNNNNNNNNNNNNNNNNNNNNNNNNNNNNNNNNNNNNNNNNNNNNNNNNNNNNNNNNNNNNNNNNNNNNNNNNNNNNNNNNNNNNNNNNNNNNNNNNNNNNNNNNNNNNNNNNNNNNNNNNNNNNNNNNNNNNNNNNNNNNNNNNNNNNNNNNNNNNNNNNNNNNNNNNNNNNNNNNNNNNNNNNNNNNNNNNNNNNNNNNNNNNNNNNNNNNNNNNNNNNNNNNNNNNNNNNNNNNNNNNNNNNNNNNNNNNNNNNNNNNNNNNNNNNNNNNNNNNNNNNNNNNNNNNNNNNNNNNNNNNNNNNNNNNNNNNNNNNNNNNNNCCGCGCCGCACCGGGAUCCCGCCGCCGUUGUGCCGCGCCGCCGCCUCGCCUUCGCCGCCCGGAGCCUCCUCAUCCAUCUCAAGGAUCCGCGCCGCUCGCCGCCGCCGACUCCUGCCGGAACCGAGCCGACACCGCCCGGAUCCGCCCUCCCCCGCUCCUCGGGCAUCCUCCGCGCUGCCCAUCGCAGGCGUCGAGCUCGCCUCGGUUUGCGCGCCGCCGAAACCCUAGAUCCGAAGAUUCCAUCAUAUGUGCGCAUGUUUGACCUAGCAUAACUCCGUGCUUGUUGCUCUGUUUUGCAUGCAUGAUAUGUUAAAAUGUUCAUCUCUGAAUGCACAACACGAUGGUUGCAUUUGCAUUCACGUCAUUGUUCAUCUGGAUGCUAUUAUCAUCGUCGCAAAAGUGCUAUGUGUCGUUAAGUGCUGAAAACUGAUACAACUUGCUCUUUUGUCAUUUUCGUGUGAUUUAACGCAUGCAUCAUAUGGGCAUCUUGUCAACAUGAAUUUGUUGCAUUUUUUAGUCCUAUUGCUUGCGGUAUUUAUCUCAUGCUAUGAGAUGCCCUGCGGUGACUAGCAAAAACUUGCAAAGUAGGGUACUUGCUGUUACUACCAUCCAUUCUAUGCAUAAUCUGGAGAGGUUCUGAUAGAGGCUAAGGUGUCCCAUCUUUCGAUGAGAUGGUGGCUAUCGUUUUGGAGGAAGUCAACUUUGACGAUCCGACUACGAACGUGCGAGGAUGUCGCGCCUUAGCAAUCGCUAAACCAACUCCGAGAGGUUAUUGACCAUGCCGGAGCAAGAUCUACCUGACCACAAAGGUCUGUUUCCUGCAGGCAAACGAAGAACAAGCAAGAAACUAAGAUUGCAAUCUGGAUAUUGCGAAUAUAAGAGGAAAGCUUUAUUGAUCAAGGUGGGGUUCUGUGACGCCUUUGUCUGGUCGUUGAACACAAACGAAGUACGCGAAGUUGCAGCUAUGGCGAACUUUAAUCUAAACAAAACCCGAAGNNNNNNNNNNNNNNNNNNNNNNNNNNNNNNNNNNNNNNNNNNNNNNNNNNNNNNNNNNNNNNNNNNNNNNNNNNNNNNNNNNNNNNNNNNNNNNNNNNNNNNNNNNNNNNNNNNNNNNNNNNNNNNNNNNNNNNNNNNNNNNNNNNNNNNNNNNNNNNNNNNNNNNNNNNNNNNNNNNNNNNNNNNNNNNNNNNNNNNNNNNNNNNNNNNNNNNNNNNNNNNNNNNNNNNNNNNNNNNNNNNNNNNNNNNNNNNNNNNNNNNNNNNGGAAGGGGUCCGAAACCAACCCUAUCUCUUGUUUCCCCACACAUACGGACUCUAAAAACAGCCUAUACUUAUGUAUUUCGAAAUUACAUGGGCCUGGCCCAAUAAUAAGGUGACGCAGCACCUAGAAUAGCCUCUGGACGAAAUUUAUGAAGUGGCAUCUUGUAUAUUUCGUCCAAGGCUUCAUGCACUCCUUAUGGUGGCUUCAAAGUCCUGAAAUCAUCACUUGUAACUCCGUUCUUGUUCCCCUUGCGUAUGCCAUCAACUCCAUGCUUGUUCUUGCUCCAAUGUUCAUCCUCCAAGCUAGGCCCUUCAUUUGUAAGCAAAACAAAUGUAUCCAAUUUAGGCAGCAUCAUAUUCUCAUGAACAUUAGAAUCAUUACCAAGAAACAAAAGUACCUGAUAAUUUAAUUGGCAUGCACGAGCUCUAGUAAUUGGUCCAGUAUGUAUAGCAGCAGGGGCCAUGGGUGUAACAAUGUUAUUGAUGUCCUCAUCAUCCUCCCCUUCUUGAAAUGAGUCGUCCUCGACAGAAGCUCAUCUUCCUCACCCAAAUAAGGCUUCAAAUCUGGAAUGUUAAAAGUGGGACUAACCCUAAAAUCUGCAGGUAGCUCAAGUUUAUAUGCAUUAUCAUUUAUUUUCUCUAACACCUUAAAAGGACCAGCAGCACGUGGCAUUAGCUUUGAUUUGCGCAAAUUGGGAAAUCUAUCCUUACGCAAAUGUAACCAAACAAGAUCUCCAGGUGCAAACACAACAUGUUUUCUAUCCUUAUCUCCAGCAAGUUUAUAUCUAGCAUUCAUACGCUCAAUGUUUUCCUUAGUUAACUCAUGCAUUUUUAAAAUCAAUUCAACACGUUGUUUAGCAUCAAAAUUAACCUUCUCCGAAGAUGGAAGAGGCAACAAAUCAAUAGGUGCACGAGGUAGGAAACCAUACACAAUUUCAAAAGGGCACAUCUUAGUAGUAGAAUGCAACGAACGAUUAUAAGCAAAUUCAAUAUGAGACAAGCAUUCUUCCCACAUUUUCUUAUUAUUCUUCAAAACAGCCCUUAGCAUAGUAGACAAUGUUCUAUUGACUACUUCAGUUUGUCCAUCAGUUUGGGGGUGACAUGUAGUACUAAAAAGCAGUUUAGUCCCCAACUUAGCCCAUAAACAUCUCCAAAAGUGGCUAAGAAAUUUAGCAUCACGAUCUGAAACGAUAGUAUUUGGCACACCAUGCAAGCGAAUAAUUUCACGAAAGAACAAAUCAGCAACAUUAACAACAUCAUCGCUUUUAUGACAUGGUAUAAAGUGUGCCAUUUUCGAGAAUCUAUCCACGACAACAAAUAUGCUAUCCCUCCCCUUCUUUGUUCGAGGUAAACCUAAAACAAAGUCCAUAGAUAUAUCCUCCCAAGGAACACUAGGUACAGGCAAAGGCAUAUAUAAACCAUGAGGUUUGAGUCGUGACUUAGCUUUUUGACAUGUAGUGCAGCGAGCAACAAAACGCUCAACAUCCCGUCUCAUCUUUGGCCAAAAGAAAUGUGUAGCAAGUAUAUCCUCUGUCUUCUUCACGCCAAAGUGUCCCAUUAGUCCUCCUCCAUGCGCCUCCUGCAACAACAAAAGACGAACGGAGCUAGCUGGAAUGCAUAGCUUGUUAGCACGAAACACAAAUCCAUCGUUAACGACGAACUUGUUCCAUGUUCCCCCUUCUUUAAAAUUCUGCAAUACAUCUUUAAAUUCAGCAUCAUGCACAUAUUGAUCUUUGAUGGUCUCCAAACCAAAUAUUUUAAAGUCAAGUUGUGAAAGCAUAGUAUAACAACGAGACAAUGCAUCGGCAAUAACAUUUUAUUUACCCUUCUUGUGUUUAAUGACAUAAGGGAAAGUCUCAAUGAAUUCAACCCAUUUAGCAUGUCUACGGUUCAGUUUUGCUUGACUUUUAAUGUGUUUCAAAGAUUCAUGAUCAGAAUGUAUAACAAAUUCUUUGGGCCAUAAAUAAUGUUGCCAUGUUUCUAAGGUCCGAACAAGAGCAUAUAAUUCUUUAUCAUAACUAGAAUAGUUCAGACUAGGCCCACUCAAUUUUUUCAGAAAAGUAUGCAACAGGUUUGGCAUCUUGUAAUAACACACCUCCUAAUCCAAUUCCACUAGCAUCACAUUCAAGCUCAAAAGUCUUAUUAAAAUAAGGAAGUUGGAGUAAAGGAGCAUGUGUCAACUUAUCUUUCAAUACCAUGAAGGCUUCUUCCUGUGCGGUACCCCAAACAAAAGGCACAUCCUUCUUUGUAAGCUCAUUGAGAGGUGCAGCAAUGGUGCUAAAAUCUCUCACAAAACGCCCAUAGAAACUAGCGAGUCCAAGAAAACUCCUCACUUGUGUGACCGUUUUGGGCUGCGGCCAACUCUCAAUAGCUUCAAUCUUGCCUUUAUUAACUUCAAUUUCCUGUGGAGUAACAACAUAGCCAAGAAAAGACACUCGGUCGGUGCAAAAGGUGCACUUCCCAAGGUUACCAAACAAACGUGCAUCAUGUAGAGCAAUAAAAACAGCACGUAAAUGUUCCAAAUGUUUUUCCAAAGAUUUGCCAUAAAUAAUUAUAUCAUCAAAAUAGACUAACACAAAUCGUCUAAUGAAAGCACGUAAAACUUCGUUCAUUAGUCUCAUGAAAGUACUAGGUGCAUUAGUUAACCCAAAAGGCAUGACUAACCACUCAUAUAAACCAAACUUGGUUUUAAAUGCAGUUUUCCAUUCAUCUCCCAAUUUCAUACGAAUUUGAUGGUAUCCACUACGCAAAUCAACUUUGGAGAAUAUUGUAGAGCCACUCAAUUCAUCAAGCAUAUCAUCUAGCCUAGGAAUAGGAUGACGAUAACGAAUAGUAAUAUUAUUAAUGCCUCUACAAUCAACACACAUACGCGACGUACCAUCCUUUUUAGGCACUAGUAUAAUAGGAACAACACAAGGACUAAGAGAUUCGCGUAUAUAACCUUUGUCGAGCAGCUCUUGUACUUGAUGCAUAAUCUCCUUCGUCUCCUCUGGAUUGGUACGGUAUGGUGCACGGUUGGGUAGCGAUGCAUCGGGAAUUAAGUCAAUCUGAUGCUCAAUCCCUUGGAUAGGUGGUAAUCCUGGUGGCACGUCUUGUGGAAAGACGUCAGCGAACUCCUGCAAAGUUAGUAACAGCAGGAGGCAACGAGGAAGGUACGUCCUCGAAUGAAAAUAAUGCCUCUUUGCACACAAAAGCAUAGCAAACAGAUUUUCUGAAAUCUAGAUCAUCAAUAUCAGAUUUGGUGGCAAGUAAACAUGCACUUCUCAAUUUAAUUUCAGAAGCAACACUAGAUGGUUUAUUAUCAGGCUUCAUUUGUUGCUCACAUUCUUUUGCCACAAUCUGAUUUUCACUCUUAUUUUUCUCCUGUUUUGCUUUAUUAGCUCUAUUAAUAUCAUCUUCAAAAAUGGAAUCAGGAGACAUAGGAAGUAAAGUGAUAUGUUUAUCCUUAUGAACAAGAGUAUACUAAUUGUUUCUACCAUGGUGUACAGAAUUUUUAUCAAAUUGCCAUGGUCUACCAAGUAAUAAGGAACAUGCUUGCAUAGGUACCACAUCACAAUCAACAUAAUCAGCAUAUGUAGAGAUACUAAAAUGCACACGAACAGUACGUGUUACCUUAACCUUGUCGCUGUUGUUGAACCAUUGGAUGUAGUAAGGAUGUGGAUGUGGUCGUGUGGUGAGAGAUAGCUUCUCCACCAUCUCCAUGCUAGCCAAGUUGUUGUAGCUCCCUCCAUCUACGAUGACGCGAACAGAACGUUCCUUCACUACUCCCUUUGUAUGGAACAAAUUAUGCCUCUGAUUUUGCUCAGCUUGUGUGACCCGCACACUCAAAACACGUUGAGCAACUAAACAUUCAUACCUGUCAGCGUCUUCAAGAGCCAUAUAUUGCGUCUCAUGAUCAGAAUCAUCUCCACCGUGUUCUUCACGUGUAAUAAGAGCCAAAGUGUCCUCAUCAUAGUCACUAGCGGACUCAUACCCACCAUCCUCAGUAGCAAUCAUCACAUGCUGAGAUUUGCAUUCUCUCGCGUAAUAACCUCGUCCCUUACAACAUCGACAAAUAAUAUCACUUGUGUGCCCUGUUGAUGCCAUGGAAGAAGAAUAACUAUGUGCAGCCCCAAUAGGUGUGCUCUUGGUAGAUAUUGGUGGUUGUGCCUACUUCCUUGUAUCACAGCAGGAGGUGGCAGCUGAUGGAGGUGUCGGUGCAGUAGAAUGUGUGGAAGUAGAGGAUGCACGCGGUGUCCAUGAUGAAGGUCGACCUGCAGAAAAGUUAGUCCGCGCCAAUGCCUGUGGAUCCUGCACUUCACGUUUAGCUUUACAAGCAAGAUGGAAUAAAUGAGUGAUAUUAUUAUACUCCUUAUACUCUAGAAUGGUCUGAAUCUCUCUAUUUAAUCCACCCAUAAAACGUGCAAGCAUAGCUUCAUUCUCCUCAACAAUACCACAUUGAAUCAUGCCAGUUUGUAAUUCAUGAUAAUAUUCUUCUACAAAAUUUUUUCCUUGUCUUAAGCGUUGCAAUUUUUGAAGUAAUUCGCGUUGAAAAUAAGGUGGAACCCAACGAGUACGCAUAGCAGUUUUCAAAGCAGCCCAAGUAGCUGGAAUGGGAUAUAAUCUACAAUGUUCAGACCACCAAACACAUGCAAAGCUAGUGAAAGCACAAACAGCAGCAGGAACACGUCUCUCCUCAGGAUAUUGUAAACAUGUAAACCGUUGUUCAGUUUCUAACUCCCAAGUAAGAUAUAUAUCAGGAACAUAUCUACCCUCAAAUGGUGGAAUAUUCAAUUUUAGUUUAGGAAGAUGGUCAUGAGCUUGUACCUCAGGUGGUGGUGCAGCCCUACUGUUGCGAUGAUAUGCAUGAGGAUGACCUGGUGGUGGUGGUGCUGGUGGUUGCACGUAGUUCUGAUUUUGAUCAACCUCAUCCUCGUAAUGGUCCUCCACCUCUGCAGUAGUAGCAGGAGCUACAGAAGCAUCAACAGUAGGUACACCGGCACCAGAAGUUUGACCAGGCUCAAGGGGAAUGCGCUGUGCUCGUCCCACUUGAUUUGGAAGGCGAUGUUGUUGUAGAGGUGCGACAGGUGCAGCAGGCGGUGGAAGACGUGCAAGAAGUUCAUUAAAUCUGUUAUCGAGCUUUGUUUCAAAAGUCUUCUCAAGGCCAGUGAUCUUCUCCAUGGCCUCUUCAAAAUUGUUCAGCACAUCUUGCACCUGUUCAGUCAUCAUUUGCUGAAACUUAUCAUGAAGCUCCUUGUUCGUUAUGUUCUCCCAGUCAAUCUCGUCGGCUUGUGAUCCUGGCAUGGUUAGCAGCAAUAGAAACACACAAGAAUAUGAUCCUACAGACUACUAACAAGUGGUGGUGGUGGUGGGUGUCACAAAUCCGUCAAGCAGAUCUCAAAUUCUUACCAGUUCUUACCCAGUAGCAGGCGGUGAUCGGCAACCGAUGUAGUCAAAACUCUCAAAGCUUGGAUAAAGCGAUUACCAGGGAGAGUCAAACGCACGACGUAGAUGUAUGUGGAGCUGGGAAGGCUUAUAAUAUGGUAGCAAAAAGGGUCAGCAAUAAUCAAUUCAGAGAUGCAAAGUUGAAUAAACGCUCAACGACGGUACUGUGCUGGUCCUAGGCUAGACCGUGCUAGAGACGCGAGCCUAGAACACUAACAAAAUCACGGCGUUGCACGUAAGCAAGGGAAAAGCACACUCUGAAUUUUUUUUGCUCUUUUUUUUUCUUUUUUGUGCUCCUCUUUUGUUUUUCGCUCCUCUUUUUUUGCGAAAAAUCACUAUAAUGGCGAGUGUCUCAAAACUCUUCCCAAGUCAAACUAACAGGAUAGGCACGAAAUAUUUUUGGAUUUUUUUUUCGGAAAUCAGGGCUGCGACGAUGAAAAAGUGCGACAAAAAAUCACUAUGAUGGCGAGUGUCUAAAAACACUCUGUGGGACCUAAAAAUAGGAUAGGGAAAAAAUACUUUUGUUCGCCGAAAUUUUGGCCUAAAAACUGCCCGGGGGUCUAUUUUUCGUCUAUUUUUUUGUCUAUUUUUUUUUGAGACCUACUCAGGCAAGGAAACACGAAACGGAAAAUAGAUGGAUCUCGAAAACAAACCUAAUAUGAAAAGACUCGGAUUGGUGGUGGAUAUAGCAGCGGUGAUGGUAUAUGGCAGCGCUGGUGGUAUAUGGAUACAGAUUGGUGGUGGUAUAUGGAUACAGAUUGGUGGUGGUAUAUGGAUACGGAUUGGUGAUGGUAUAUGGAUACGAAUUGGUGGCGGAUAAGCGGUGGUGGUAGAUGGCAGGAGCGAUGACGAUGGUGCGGCGGCGGCGUAACAACUUGUGAACAGAACUCGAAACUCUAAGGGUAACUAGACGCUAAGACCAGCAACUUGACACGACGAUGCAACCGCAAAUUCAACAAAGCAAAAUACUGAAAAGACUAUGCAAAGGCUCAGACUGGUUCGGAUAUGAUGAACUAACCCUAAUUUUUUUUGGCUUUUUCGUGGACUGUAGGUAUAAAAAACAGAGUCGAUCUAAACUAUGAAAAACUGUAAAAUCUCACCGAGCAACCUGGAAAUCUGAUACCACUUGAUAGAGGCUAAGGUGUCCCGUCUUUCGAUGAGAUGGUGGCUAUCGUUUUGGAGGAAGUCAACUUUGACGAUCCGACUACGAACGUGCGAGGACGUCGCGCCUUAGCAAUCGCUAAACCAACUCCGAGAGGUUAUUGACCACGCCGGAGCACGAUCAACCUGACCACGAAGGUCUGUUUCCUGUAGGCAAACGAAGAACAAGCAAGAAACUAAGAUUGCAAUCUGGAUAUUGCGAAUAUAAGAGGAAAGCUUUAUUGAUCAAGGUGGGGUUCUGUGACGCCUUUGUCCGGUCGUUGAACACAAACGAAGUACGCGAAGUUGCAGCUAUGGCGAACUUUAAUCUAAACAAAACCCAAAGUCUAAACGACGCCCUAAGGGCUGUAUAUAUAUGGAGGAAGAGGGGGGGGGGGGAAUUUCGUGGCCCUUGGGGAAGGGGUCCAAAACCAACCCUAUCUCUUGUUUCCCCACACAUACGGACUCUAAAAACAGCCUAUACUUAUGUAUUUCGAAAUUACAUGGGCCUGGCCCAAUAAUAAGGUGACGCGGCACCUAGAAUAGCCUCUGGAUGAAAUUUAUGAAGUGGAAUCUUGUAUAUUUCGUCCAAGGCUUCAUGCACUCCUUAUGGUGGCUUCAAAGUCCUGAAAUCAUCACUUGUAACUCCGUUCUUGUUCCCCUUGCGCAUGCCAUCAACUCCAUGCUUGUUCUUGCUCCAAUGUUCAUCCUUCUCGAAGCUAUGCCCUUCAUUUGUAAGCAAAACAAAUGUAUCCAAUUUAGGCAGCAUCAUAUUCUCAUGAACAUUAGAAUCAUUACCAAGAAACGAAAGUACCUGAUAAUUUAAUUGGCAUGCGCGAGCUCUAGUAAUUGGUCCAGUAUGUAUAGCAGCAGGGGCUGUGGGUGUAACAAUGUUAUUGAUGUCCUCAUCAGGUUCAGUAAUCAUGUUUUGAAAAUCAUGUUAUGCUCUAUCCGUCUAUGCCCUUGUUUGCAAUUAUGGCCUACCGUAGCUUGUUGUUACCAUGCUCUAAAGUUGCUAAAUAAUGUUUCUGUCAGCCUGUUAAUAGUAAGUUUGUUUUUGCCAUGUGAAUAGCUAGUGUUCUAUGCAACCUAUGACCAUGUUCUUGCCAUUAGUAUUCCACAAACAUGUCUUUUUGCUGUUGGUUAUAUUCGCAUGUCAUGAUAUGCUUUGUAAUGUGUUGCACAAGGUUGCACACAUGCCUAUCUGUCGAUGUUUCUUCCAUGAUCAGUUUAUUUCACAAAGUCUGAGAAUCUGUUAUGACUUGCUUACUUGUCUUGAUGAAUUCCAUUGAACUAGAGGUUAUAUGGAGAUACUUAGUAAUCAUGUUGUCGGAUUUCGGGUUCCGCAGACCCUUGAGAGGUUCGAACUCUGGCGUGCGCAUGAAGAACACUCUCUCCCCUGCUCGCCCGCUCGACGAUCCCACGGCCUAGCUCGACGAACCCAAAGAACGAGAGACAUAAAUAUUUAUCCUGGUUCGGGUCACCUUGCGGUGUAAUACCCUACUCCAUCUUUGUGGUGGAUUGCCUCAAGGGGCUGAAGAUGAACUAGUACAGUCGAUGAAUAGUCUCAGGAGGUGAGGUUUCUUGAGCUCGAUGAACUGGUGGGUGUGAGGAUGAUCUGAAUGAUCCGUCCCCCCGCUACGGUGGUGGCUAGGUCCUACUUAUACUGGCCUUGGUCCUCUGCCCAAAGUUAGGAGGGAAGGGAUCCCCAACAGUGAAAUUUGAAUGGAGACAACUAGUACAAGCUAUCCUGACAAAAGUAGUCUUCGCCUUCAAAGGCUCUGGUGGUGACGCUGCGGUGGGCUCCGCGGUCUUGGUCUUGUUGCACCGAUAAGGAAACCUUUGCUUCAUUCCUCGGGACUCCGCACUUGCACUUGCCUCCUUAGCACCAAAGAGGAAACUGGUACACUGCGCCCGCUGGCGCCCGCCUGGCCUUGGUCGCCAUGGCUCACGUCACGUGAACGUCACGAGGUGCACCUUGCAUAGAUAUCUCCGCUCCUUGGGAGCCAGCCUAGUGAGGCUGCCCCCAGGAGGUCUUGGUGUCGUCCGCCUUGCGAGGCUUGGCCCCUUGCGAGGGUCUUGAGCUGUUGCUGCUGAAGCUGGAUCGUACCGGGCCAGUGAUGGAGCCACGCUGCAGGCCGCAGGCAGGCAAGUAUGGGUUCCCCCGUUCCCAGGACGCCGACAGUAGCCCCCGGGCCAAAGGCGCUCGAACUUGGCUUCGAGGCGAAGCCAAAGGGCAAGUAAGGAGCACCGCGGGCCCCAACCGCCUGCGGCCUCGGGUGACGCAUGGCGAUUGAUGGGACAUGCGCACCUCCGCUUCCCCACGCUGCCUCAGCAACCAUUCGACUUGACGAGACACUGCUGCAUGCAGAAGAACAUCAUUACUUGCGAUCAUGGAGGCCGGCGUUGGCCUCCUUCUGGCUAUAAAUGAGGGGAGGGGCAGAGCCCCCUCGCUCAUCUCUGUCUUCUCGCCGCCCGCCCCUUCUGCUUCCUCCUAGCCUUGCCGUCUUGCCGCGAUACUCAUGGCGCCGAUUAGGAGGUUCUCCGCCGCGGAGAAGGGAAAGAUCCCCCUUGAGGAGCCUGAGCUGCUCCCACCGAAGAAGAGGUCCAGGCGUCCUCACGACAUCGGGGAGCGGGGGGAGGUGACGUGGCCUUGGUACGAGCGGCCACCGCCUGGCUACCCGCUCCCUCUAUACGCCCAAGCGCGGUGCUUCGGAGGAGGCGGGAGCGACCCGCGCUGCGCGAGCCGCAGCUGCAGUUGUCAGGCUGUGGUAGCACGAGCUGCCGGCUCGCAAACCCAUGCCGAGGGCUCCUCAUGCGAGUUCGUGGUGUGGGCGGCAAUGCCUCCGCGCACGUGGAUCAAGCUCCCAUGGUUCUUUGCUGGAGAGAUGCCGCCGAGAGGGCCGCUCGAGCUGUGGUUGCAGCACGCCAAGUGUAGCACUCUGGCCACGGGAGCCGAGGUUGAGGUCGUCUUCCCGGGCAAGAUCUUCAUGACCCGCGGAUGGGGCGAGGUCGCCCGCGCUAGCCGCGCGGAGGGUGCCCUCGCCAUCCACUUCGAGUACGAUGGCGCCUCCACGCUGUUCUUCAAGGUCUUCAACGAGGAAGGUCUUCGCACGGAGUGCUGCCCUGGAGGAAGCAGCCGAGGGGGCGCGGCAGCAGGCGCCGAGCCUGCCCCCGGUACUGCCGGUAGCUCCUCCAGGAGCGGUGAUGACUCCUGGGGGUCCAGCAACUCUCACGAGCCGAGCGAGUCUCCGGAGACGAGCGACGACAGCUACGCGCCACCAAGCUCCCGCCGUGCCCGGAGCGCGGCAGCGGCGUCCGCCCGUCGUCGCCGAUGACCUGGAUGGGGUUGGCUUCGGCCUCUUGUGGCCCACCGUUGAUGAUGGCGUCGGCGGCGACGUCCGUACUUAGGACUUCUUGGGGUUUUCCUUCUUUUGUUCCCUACGAUGAAUCGAGACGAACCCCGCGGGGGUGUGUAAAGAAACUGUAAUGCUUUUGCUCCAGCGCUUAUUAUUCCGACUAUAAGAUUGUGGUUGCGUAUCUUCUUUGGCAUUGUCCCCCCUUUUCAUCCUUGUGGUAGCUUAGCGCUCUACGCCGGCAGGUCCCAGUCCCCAGGCAAGCUUCAGCCGUCGCUGGUAUGCCAGGUCACGAUGCCGUGGUCAAGGCCAGGAGGUGAGCGGCCCAAGGUCCGGUAAGAGCUCCUGAGGCGCGAUGCUCAAGAGGUCCCCUUAGUGUGCAAGCAGCGUCCCGAAGGCAGAAAAGAAAGGCAACAUUGCCAGAGCAAGGCAGCGAGAAUCGAAAAUUCCAACUGCGACAUCAUGCUAACACGAAUAUGAGACUUAUCUUAUCGAGCCCGAGGUGAUUCCCCGCACAGCGUCCGAUUCGCGCUUCAGCGGCGGUGUUACUAGGUAAGGCUCACGCUGGCUUCCCCCUUCCUCGCUCAUCUAAAUUCUUUGCGUCCUCGGGUCCCGACCCUCGAGCGAAGCUCAGCCGCCGCUGGUAUGCCAGGUCGCGAUGCCGUGGUCAAGGCCAGGGGGUGAGGGAUGGAGGGUCAGUAGGAGCUCCUGAGGCGCGAUGCUCAGGAUCCCCCCUUUAAUGCCCAAGCAAAUCAUGUAGAAAAAAGGGGGCAGCCAGUGAGGCCACCCAUAGCUAAGCUCCGGAGAUUCCUGCGGGUUAGUUCGAGGGGAGAACAUAACUCAUAAUGGCGUUUGCUGUUCUUUCCUGAAGAAGAUUAAAGCACUGAGGAUCUGGUGAGGUGACAUGCGCCGGGCGGGCCACGAGCCAGAGCUCAAUCUCUCAGAGUUGUCAGUGUUGCAGGGACGAACCCGAGCACAAGUACCGUGCUAGCAUGUGUAGCCCCCAUUGCGGGAUGAGUAAGAGGUUGGUCAGCAACGCGGGAGGCCGCGAAGGGCAACAGGAAAGCAUGUGAUAAUUGUAAGGUAACUCAUGGGAGGAGGCAAGCUAGUUCAGGUAAAUGCAAGAAUGAUACAUGCCGCAGGGACGGACCCAGGCGGCCUGGGGUUGAUGCAGCUCGAGGAGCGCCCCCAAUAGUGUAAGUUAAAGAUGCAAAAGGAUACAUGUCGCAGGGACAGGCCUGUGCGACUUGGGGAUAAUGCAGCCCGAUGGGCACCCCCAACUAAAUAAAUGGAAAAGAGUCACCUGGCACCGUUGCUGGAGAGAGGUUGGAGCAGCCGAAGACGCGUCCUUACAAGCCGCCUGGGUCCUGAGCAUCGGGAGGCUCUAGGGGCUCGGGAGGCUCAUGAAGAACCGUCGCCAUCUCCGCCAGGACCGCGUGAUGCCUCGCCUCCUGAGCCGCCAGAACGCUCCGCAUGUGACGCUGGAAUGUAACAACCACGUUGGGCAAGCCGAAUGGUAUGCGAACAUAGCUAUGAGGUGGACCCUCGCACCGGCCAAUGUGCGAAGGCCAGAAGCACUCCUGGGAUGCAACCCUGUUGAGCCCUAGGAUGUUGACACAGACGCGCAGCUCGUCGUCCUUGCCAGGACAAGGAGCUGCGCCAGGUGGUGGGCAGCGGUCGCCGCGCAUGGCUCUUGCCUCUUGAAGCUCCUCUGUCGCCUUGGUGAUGAAUUCCUGAGCACCAGGCACUCCAUGCCUUGUGCCCUCAUGAGGGAAGCACGCGAUGAAGCAUGCCUCCAUGUGGUGCCCGAGCGCCUCCCUCGUGACAUUGGCUAAGUUAGAGGCCCUCCAGAAGAGAGCCCGCGAGCCCAGCCUGAGGAGGGUGCCGGCGCGCCUUCCUAUGCGAGAGAGGGAGGCGCCCCAUUCGUGGGCGCUGGUCCUGAGGUUGUGCCGCUUGAGACACCGCUCUCCUGAGGCUCUUGGUGGAGCAGCUGCUUCUUCUUGGGGACUACCUCAGGAGAUUAGAUGGCACCUUCGUUGUCUGUGUCUUCAAUUGCUGCAUCUUGGUAGGCGCGUUUGUGGGAGCGCACCGCAUCCUUCUCCUCGCAGGCAACCGUGAUGAUGCCGCAACUUCCUGGCAUCUUGAGGACGUUGUAGCCGUGGUGGGUCACCGCCAUGAACUUGGCCAGGGCCGGAUACCCAAGGAUGGCAUUGUAGGGCAGGUGGAUGUUGGCGACAUCGAAGUCGAUGAGCUCGAUGCGGUAGUUGUCGCGCUGGCCAAAAGUGACAGGGAGGCGAAUCUGCCCUAUCGGGGUGGUGGAGCCGUCGGUCACUCCUGAGAAGGGCUUGGUGGGCUGCAGCUGAUCAUAUGGCACUUGGAGGCGGUCGAACGUCUCAAUGGAUAGAACAUUGAGUCCCGCACCGCCAUCGAUGCGCAUCUUGGUGACAAGGACAUUGCUGAUGACGGGUGAGCAGAGCAUCGGGAGGGCACCGGCGGUUGCCGCGCACUUGAGCUGGUCGGAUGAGAUGAAGGUGAUGGUGCACUUGGACCACCUGAGCGGGCGCGUGGCCUCGAGCCUGGUGAGGGCCGCGUUCACCUCGCGAGCAAACUGUUUGAAGAUGCGCUAGGAGGCGGGGGCCUGAGCGCCGCCCGAAAUGCAGGCGAUGGCGCGAGGUUCCUGGAAGCCCCCAGCCCCCUCUUCCUGGUGAUGGUCAUUGUUCCUUCUUGGUGGUGGCGGCAGCCCUGAGAACGGUCCUCAUGAGGCUGGUCCCUCCAGGAGCCCUCGCGAGGCUGGUCCUGCCAGCGGUCCUCACGAGGCUGGUCGCGCCACUCCUGGCGAGGGCCGCGGUCGUCCCACCGUCCUCCACUCCUACCUCCUCCGCGACCGUAGCAUCGGUCGUUGCGGUCGGAGCCUCGACCGAAGCGCCCGUCGUGGAUGGCCCUGAGCUCCUAACAGCCGUUGGUGUUAUGGUUGUGUACAUUGUGGAAGGCGCAGAACGGGCGGCUGGCCUCGGACGACUCUGGGUGGUCACAGCCGCGUUUCAUCUCUGGUUCCGCCACCGUCGGCGUUCUGGGAAAGGGGGUCCCUAGACCUGCCUGCCUACGGCCCAAGGCGUGGUUCCUCCAGCGGCCUGGUAUGGCCCAUCAUCACCAGCAAACACUCAAGACCCUCGCGAGGCGGACGACACAAUACCUCCUCAGGGGCGGCCUCACUAGGCUGGCUCGCGAGGAGCAGAGAGAUCAAGGAGAGGGGCACUUUGUGAGGUUCCCGUGACAUGAGCCAUGAUGACCAAGGCCAGGCGGGCGCCAGCGGGCGCAUAGUACCCGUUGCCUCUUUUGUGCUAAAGGGGAAAGCGUAGGCGAGGAGUCCCGAGGCAUCAGGCAAAGGUUUCCAUAUCGUUGCAACGAGACCAAGACCAGUAGGACGGCAGGACAGAGGUCAUCGCGGAGCCCACGACGGCAUCACCACCAGAGCCUUUAGCAGGCGAAGACAACCUUUUGUCUGGAUAGCUUGUACUAGCUAUCCCCCUUCAAAUUGGCCGUCGUGGGAUCCCUUCCUGCCUAACAUUUGGGAAGAGGACCGGGCCUCUAUAAAUAGGACUAGCCACCACCUUAGCAAGGGGACGGAUCAUUCAGAUCACCCUCGACCACACAAGCUAACCGAGCUCAAGAACACCUCUCCUCAGGAGGCUGUUCUUCCCUUGUACUUGUUCAUCCUCAGCCUACAAGGCAAUCCACCACACCACACUGGAGUAGGGUAUUACACCACAUCGGUGGCCCGAACCAGUAUAAACUCUUGUGUCCCUUGUUCUUCGAGUUCGACGUGCUGAGCUUUGAGAUCGUGGUGAGUGAGCGAGCUAAGGGGAGGGAGAGAUCUUCGUGUGCACCCAGAGUUCGAACCUUAAGGGUUUUGCCAGAACCCACAAUCCGACAUUUGGCGCACCCACGACGCUUUCCUUUCAUCGAUCCAUGCUCCACCACCUCCACGCUUUGUCCCCAUGGCCGGCGUUGCUUCUCCAGCUGGGACGACGGACGCCCAUGACGGCGCCAGGGGCCUUAGAGCUUUUGCCCCCGCCUUGCGGCGGGUACAGUGGCCGCCCAGGAUCAAGGCGGAGAUGCCACCGCGUUACGACAGCGCGGCGGACCUGUCGGCCUUCCUGCUGGCAUACGAAGAGGCCGUCCUGGAGGCUGGGGGCGAUGACAAGGUCAUGGUCGACUGGUUUCCCAUGGCCCUCGCUGGCGCACCGCGCGCCUGGCUGCUCACCCUCCUGAGAUCCUCAGUGGCAUCUUGGGAGGAGCUGCGCGGCCUCUUCAUCGCGCGCUUCGCAGCACCGGUGCCCAUCGCCGUCGCAACCCUCCUCGGCGGCUCACAAGCACCGCCCUCGGACCGUCACACCAAGCAAUUCUUCCGCCAGAUCGGCGCCGCUUCCAUGCAGCAAGGAGCUCCCCCAGGUUGGUCGGCGCCCAAGGCCAACCUCACCUUCGACUCGGGGGACCACCCCGUCACCACCACCAGCUCGGGCAUGCUCCCAAGCUUUGCACGCCCACCAUCUGCAACGUAGCCAUCACCAAGACCCUCGUCGAUGGCGGGGCCGGCCUUAAUGUUCUCUCCCUGGAAGCUUUCUGCUUGCUUCAUGUGCCACACAAACGGCUUCGUCCCACCAAGCCCUUCUCCGGGGUCGGCGGCGGCUCCGCCAGCCCCCUGGGGCAGAUCCGCCUUCCUGUGAUCUUUGGCACUCGCGACAACUACCGCACCGAGCUGAUCGACUUCGACAUCGCCCGCAUUGGCCUCCCAUACAACGCCAUCCUCGGGUACCUUGCCCUGGCUCAGUUUAUGGCGGCAACUCAUCCGGCCUACAACCUCAUGAAGAUGCCGGGGAGCAAGGGCGUCCUCACAGUAGCUGGAGACACCAAGGAGGCUCUGGCAGCGCUCAAGCUUGCCCUCAAAGCCGCCGCGGCAGCCCACCCAGCCGACGAGGCCACCACCAGAGCUAAGGAGGCCGCACCGGCGAAUAAGAAGCAGUUGUUCACUCAAGAUCGGGCCGAAACUAAGCAAGUGCUGGUCGAGGAAGGUGGACCCUCAGGAGCCACCUUCACCCGGAUCAAGAGGAGGCAUUGGUGAGGUUCCUGCGUGCGAACAAGAAGGUAUUCACCUGGGAACCAAAGCAGCUGGUAGGGGUCCCAAGGGGGGUGAUCGAGCAUCACCUAAGGGUGUGCCCCAAUGUGCACCCUAUGAAGCAGAAGGCGCGGCGGCAAUCCACGGAGAAGCAGUCCUUCAUCAUCCAGGAAACGCGCAAGCUGGAAGCGGCAUGUGUCACCCGCGAGGUCCGGUACCCGGAGUGGCUGGCGAACCCCGUUGUCGUGCCAAAGAAAGGCGGGAAGGAGCGCAUGUGUGUCGACUACACCAACCUGAACAAGGCCUGCCCCCAAGACCCGUUCCCGCUUCCGUGCAUCGACCAGAUUGUCGACUCCACCGCCGAGUGCGACCUGCUGUCCUUCCUGGACGCGUUCUCGGGCUUUCCUGACCCCAUGUGGGGUGUACUGCUACACUUGCAUGCCGUUCGGGCUGCACAACGCAGGUGCGACCUUCCAACGGCUGAUGCACAUCUCCCUGGGUCAGCAGCUCGGGAGAAACGCUGAAGCCUAUGUCGAUGACAUCGUUGUAAAAUCUAGGGAGGUGAGAACCUUGAUUCCGGACCUGGAGGAGACCUUCGCAAGCCUGGGCCAGGUGGACCCGCGGCUCAACCCAGAGAAGUGCGUGUUCGGUGUCCCCUCCAGAAAGCUGCUGGGCUUCCUCGUGUCCCACAGGGGGAUUGAGGCUAACCCAGAGAAGGUGAAGGCGAUAGAAUACAUGAGCCCACCGUAAACUCUCAAGGAAAUGCAGAAGCUUGCGGGUUGCGUGACCUCGGUAGGGUGCUUCAUCUCCAAGCUGGGGGAGCGCACAUUGCCGUUCUUCAAGCUGAUGAGGAAGAAGAGCCCGUUCGAGUGGACCUCGGAGGCCGACCUGGCGUUUCAAGACCUCAAGAGAUACCUGACUAGCCCCCCCAGUGAUGGUGGCGCCUCGUCCCCUCGAGCCCCUGGUGCUUUACCUUGCCGCCACUCCCUACUCUGCCAGCGCGGCGCUAGUGGAGGUAUGGGAGGAGCGCCAGGCCAAGAGUCCGCUGCGCCCCCAACAAAAGCGUGGCGACAGCAAGAGGAUGCCGCAAGGUCCGCCACAACGCCAACGAAAGAUCGGGUCCAGCCAGACGGCGUUCUCGGGCCUGCAGAGACCCCAAUGGAUGGCCAAGCUCCGGGGGUCCCAUCACCUCAGGGAGCGCCCCAACCUCCGGCAGACGCAGGCUCCAUCGGCGCUCCCACCCUCGUCGAGCACCCAGUGUACUUCGUCAGCACAGUGCUAAGGGACGCGAGGGCACGAUACCCAAUGCCUCAGAAGCUCUUGCUCGCGUUCUUGGUGGCCUCGUGUGAACUGCGCCACUACUUCCAAGGUCACCCAAUCAAGGUCGUCUCGGCCUACCUGUUGGAGAGUUUACUCCGGAGCCCCAACUCCGCGGGAAGAGUUGCUGAAGGGAACAUCGAGCUGCAAGCAUUCCAGCUGGAGUUCAGCACAACCAGGGUCAUCAAGGGAGCCGCGCUCGCCAACUUCGUGGCGGAAUGGACUGACACCCCGGGGCUUGAAGCAGGCGAGGACCGAUCCGUCUCGCCAGGAAGUGAAGCGCCAGAUGGCUGGGUCAUGUAUUUCGAUGGCACGUUCGCAUGCCAGGGCGCGGGGGCUGGAGCAGUGCUCAUCUCGCCCACUCAGGACAAGCUCUACUACGCUGUGCAGCUCUGCUUCCAGCAGGGCGAGAAGGUCUCCAACAACAUCGCGGAGUACGAAGGCCUCAUCGCCGGCCUUAAGGCUGCGGUGGCCCUGGGGGUGAAGCGCCUCACCAUCAGGGGCGACUCGCAGCUCCUCAUCAACUUCUCCAACAAGGUAUAUGAGCCGAGGGAUGAGCACAUGGAGGCAUACCUCGCGGAGGUACGCCAAAUGGAAAAGCAGUUCUUGGGCCUAGAGUUGCAGCACGUGCGCCGUGGCACCAACAAGGAGGCUGAUGACAUCGCCAAAAGGGCAUCCAAGCGCCAGCCCCAAGAGCCUGGCGUCUUCGAAGAACGGCUCUUCAAGCCUUCGGUAGCACCUCCGCCUUCGGGGCCGGUGCCGCCUCGGGAGGAACUCCCCCAGCCACCUACCUCGGGAGCCGUGGCCUGCGGCCCGACCUCAGGAGCGCGCCUGCUCCUGGUGCUCGAGCCUCAGGAGUGGUGCUGGACCAAGGAGUUCAAGGAAUACCUGACGCAAGGGACGCUGCCGGAGAAAGAGGAGGACGUGGAGCGCGUGGCCCGACACACUACGACAUACUGCAUCCAGGACAGUGAGCUAUAUAGGAAGCGGCCAAAUGAUGUUUCCUUGCGAUGCAUCUCCAGGAAGCAGGGGAACGAGUUGCUAGAUGACAUACACGGUGGAGGCUACGGGCACCACUCGUCGUCACGUACCCUGGCCGGUAAGGCAUUCCGCAGCGGGUUCUACUGGCCUACGGCACUCAACGAUCCAUCAGCCAGCUCAGGGCCUCCAGACCAUCCCGCUCUCAUGGCCAUUCGCGGUCUGGGGGCUGGAUAUCCUAGGCCCGUUCCCUCGAGCGCCUGGGGGCUACCGCUACCUCUACGUCGCCAUCGACAAGUUCACCAAGUGGGCAGAGGUGGAGGCCGUCCGCACCAUCCCGGCCGGGUCCGCAGUUAAGUUCAUCAAGGGCCUCGUGAGCCGGUUCGGGGUCCCUAACCGCAUCAUCACCGACAACGGCUCGCAGUUCAGUACCAAUUUCUUCAAGACAUACUGUGCUAACCUUGGAACGCAGAUCUGCUACGCUUCGGUGGCACACCCCAGGAGUAAUGGCCAAGCCGAACGCACCAACGCGGAAGUCCUGAGAGGCCUCAAGACCAGGACCUUCAAGAAGAAGCUCGAGGCCUGCGGCAGGGGCUGGCACGACGAGCUCCAGUCUGUGUUGUGGUCCAUCCGCACCACCGCCACCAAGCCAACAGGCGAGACCCCGUUCUUCCUCGUCUACGGAGCAGAAGCGAUUCUCCCUCACGAGGUCAAGCAUCGCUCCGCGCGGGUCCUGGCGUUUGAUGACACGCAGCAGGACGCCAUGUGGGGGAUGGACCUUGUGCUGGGGGAGGAACGCCGCCGUGAAACCACGCUCCGAGCGGCAAGAUACCAGCAGGCACUGCGACGGUAUCACUGCCGCAGCGUCCGCUCCAGGACGCUCGAGGUGGGCGACCUCGUCCUAAGGCGGGUGCUCUCCAGGGAAGGGCUGCAUAAGCUCUCGCCCAUGUGGGAGGGCCCAUUUAGGGUUGCCCAUGUCUCCAGGCCUGGCGCCGUGCGCCUGGAGACGUGGGACGGGGUCCCCAUCCAGAACGCCUGGAACAUCCAGCACCUCCGGAAGUUCUACCCAUGAAGCAAGGCCCAGCGCCUGUGAAGCAAGGCCCAGUGCCUGUGAAGGUCUCCGCUCGUGACACUCUCACAUAAUAAUGAGUGGGGCUUUACAUGCCCCGGAGUCUCAGAAGUGCCGCCCUCGGGCCUCGGGGGCUCCCGCCCACGUCCUAGUGGCAGCACUUAGCUCCGCACUGGUGAGAAGACUAGACUAGGUGCCGAAUGCGGCUGUUCAUUUGCUUUCUGUAGUUGGUUUGCCCCUUUUUAUGGAAUUUGGAGUUCUGGUGUUCUCUAUCGAUUGCUCGGCUGGGUUUUCCUUUCCUUUUGUUGCCUAUUCGCUCGUUCCUUGUUUUACGCCUGGGAGGGCGGCAGUUGCCCAACGCUCUCCCUCGCGCGCCUCACGCGAGGGCUCUGCAGGUGUGUGCGCGCACUGGGCUAGCCCAACCGCGAACACACCUCGCCGAAGCUCUGUCGCUCGAGAGCUUCGGCUCUCCUAAUCUUUGCAAGGCGCCCUCGAUCGAGCUCGUGCUUGGCGCUCCCUCCUAAUUCCGUGCCCCACGGGUACCGCGACAUGGUGCACCAAGCCAUGACUAGCCCAAGGUUGAGGCCUCGCACAGAGAAGGAUAAGCACCCAACGGAUGAGCUAACAAAAUUCUGCAGCCUUACGAUGACUCCCGAGGUCAACAACUCCCGAGCCAGCGGCUGGGAGGUGUCAGUAGGUCCUAGAAGCCGCACCACGAGACGUGAAACUACCACGGGCGCACCAAGUUAAGUUAUCCCCCUGCACCUACAUGAAGCACGAAUGCCACAACACGACACAGGGAUAAUAAACAUAACAUAGCGACCUGGAAAUCACGGUUCGUUACACGCCCUUGUAGGGCCCCAUACUUGUUUCUUUUUGAAAUGCAGGAAGAAAGGAAAGAACAAAACAAAAGCGGCGCGCGCCCCCGCAGCGGCUCGCGAGGGUAGGCCUUCGGCACCCUCCUGGACUUAGCCAGACCCCUCCUCACGCUUCACUUGGGCACGACGCUGAGACGACCCGCUACCGCCCUCGAGGCGGGCACGACGACGUGGCGGCUGAUCAUAGCCGCCGCUGCUGGAGCUGUCGCUGGAGGAGGGGCUACCGUAGCUGGACGAACCGCGGCCGGCGCCGAGGGCGAGUUCACCUUCACCCUCGUCACGGCCGUCGCCAAGGCCGAGCACCUCGCCGCCAACGUUGUCCUCAGGGCAGCAUCCGACGCGACGACCAUCUUCCCCGAAUACCCUCACGUAGAGGGUCGCGUCUGUAACGCCCCGAGACCGACGCUCCGUCUGCCUUCCUUGUUUUGCGAGUCAGCUGUGUUUUAUUUGUUUGUUGCAUUCGUCAUCGCAUCAUUUGCAUUGCAUCAGCACUUUGUUGCCACCAUGUUUUAAAACUUGCAUCCCCUCGUAGUGGCCGCGCCCCCUUGCUUCCGCUGACCCUUCCGAGACCAACCUCGUUCUUCGUUUUCCCUCUUGCUUAAACCGGAGUCCCACUUUGCACAGUGCAUCGCCCCCUCGCGCGCGUCCGAAAUUUGUCCCGAACCCGAACCGGACUUUCGUUACCGUUGGGUCCGGAACAUCCCCUAACAUCUACAAAACAUCUCCGUUUUCUUAAUUGGGCUCCCUAACCUAAUUUUCCCGGACUGUCCGAUGAUGAAUGGAGGGACCGGAUACCCCUAAGCUAUCCCCUACCUAUACAAAUAAUGGGAAACCCUAGAUACUAGGGAUCCUGUCCCAUCCAUCCAUUUCGUGCCGCCGCCACCCACUCACCAAAUCCCCAUCGGGAUCCCCUCCCGAUCCAGCGAACCACCUCCCUCCUGUUUUCAGCCACCACCCAAUUCCUUCGAUCCAACCACCGGGCACCUCGGCCACCUCCUUCCUCGGCCCCUGCCCGCCGCUCCACCCCCAAGAAGCAGAAGCGCCCGAGCGCUCCUCUCCUCGCCGGAGCACAGGACCCCCCUGCCGCCGGUGAGAUGCCCUGCUGCUGCUCCUCCGUUUUCCCCUGCACCUCCCGUGCCUCACAUCUCCCUCUCGACCUCCUAAUGCAGCGCCAUGGAUGGCUGCAGCCCAAGCCGCGUCCUCGCCCGGCCUCUCGCGCGCCCGAGCUCCACCUUGCGUGCCUACCUCCUCGCCCUCGUGGCCGAAGCAGCCGAACAGGAACCGAGCGCCCCCGAGCCUAGUCCCCGUGCUGCCUCUCCAGCCGCCGCCGACCUCCUUCGCCUCGUCCGCGGCGCCCGAGCACCGCCUGGAGCCGCGACUCCCGUCGGACCUCCUCACUGCCCGAGGCUGCUGCCUCCCCGUCGUCUUCCUCGAGCAGGAGCUCACGCCCGAGCUCCAUCGCCACCCGUUGCCCCUCGCCGGAGCAACACCAGCAGGACCCUGCGGUCUCCUCUGCCCUCUCCUCGAGCCGGCCGCAAGCUGCUCCAUCACCAGACUGGCUCCAUCGCGCCUUCUCCUUGGGGCCCUCCUCCUCGCUCUCUCUCUCUCACAUCUCUCUCUCUCUGUACUUGCCGCAGCAAGGAACCGCCGCCGCCAAGUACUUGCCGGGAGCGACGCCAUGGCCUCGGAUCUAGCCGGUUCCCGCGGUCCCUCGCCCCGCCAAGUCCCUCGCCUCGCCGCCCCUUCGCCCGCUCGUCGGAGCUCUGCUCCAGGCGCCGCCUGCGGUUCCCUGCUUCGAAUAGGGGAACGAGCGCACGAGCAGCGUUCGCGUUGACCGCGGCCCCGCGCCUCCUCGUUCGAUCCAGCCUCCUGGGCCGCAAGCAAGCGCCAAGGCCCAGCGCCCCUUCCAGCCUCCCUCUCCACCGAGUGGGCCUUGACCCAUGGUGAGGCCCCCCCAGCGCCCUUUGUUAUUCUUCUUUUGGGCUUGCUCCGGUUUUAGAUUCGGCCCAGUGUAGUUUUUUUUCCAUGUCUGCGAUUUAGCUAUUAUCCAGAGUAUUGCAGUUUUACAGAAAAGUCCUUCAUGUUCAUGCAUUAAUAACUCACGAAUCAUGCAUCAUAUUAAAAUAAUUUAUAUAUGAAAAAUACUUAGAAUUUUGUGUAGAUUAAUAAUAUGCCACUUUCAUCCCAUGAUAAAAUGUUUAACAUGCUGUUUGAUUAAAUUUGCUCAAAUAACAUGUUAAAAUGAUUUAUUUCAUAACUAAAUAACCGUAGCUCGGAUUUUAAUAAAUUAUAUAUGUAAAUGGGGUAGAAAAAUGCAUAGAUUAACAUGGUGCACUUCAUUUUGCUGUUUAACAACAUUAAAAUUGCGUUUAUGGCAGAAAAGUACCAAUCCCAAAAUAUGGACAUGAGGAUUUUCCGGAAUUGUUGUUCGUUGUUCCGGCCUCAUUUAAACUUGCCUAAAUAGUUAGUUUUGUUAUGCUUCACCUUUUGCCAUGUUUAACAACAUUUAAUAUUGUUGGGUUUAUAACUGAGAGAGAACUAAAUAAGUAAAGGUGGUGUUUCGUCAAUAUGCAACUCGUUGCAUAUUGAGCUCCACUUAACUUGUAGUUUCGUUUAUGCACUUUGCCAUGCCAUGCCUCAUUAAACCGGACAUGCAUCAUACCUGUUUGUGCAUCAUGCCAUGUGUAUGUGGUGGUUGUUUACUAUGUUGUUUGUUUCUUUCCGGGUUGCUUCUCUCGUUAGCUUCGGUUUCGUUCCGGAGUUGUGAGGAUUCGUUCGACUCCGUCCGCUUGUCUUCUUCAUGGACUCGUUCUUCUUCCUUGCGGGAUCUCAGGCAAGAUGACCACCCCUCGAAAUCACUUCUAUCUUUGCUUGCUAGUAGUUCGCUCUAUUGCUAUGCUGCGCUACCUACCACUUGCUAUAUCAUGCCUCCCAUACUGCCACGUCAGCCCCUAACCUUUUCACCCUUCCUAGCAAACCGUUGUUUGGCUAUGUUACCGCUUUGCUCAGCCCCUUCUUAUAGCAUUGUUAGGUGCAGGUGAAGAUGAAGAUUACUCCAUGUUGGAUUAUGUUUAUGUUGGGAUAUCACAAUAUCUCUUAUCUUAAUUAAUGCAUCUAUAUAUUUGGUAAAGGGUGGAAGGCUCGGCCUUAUGCCUGGUGUUUUGUUCCACUCGUGCCGCCCUAGUUUCCGUCAUACCGGUGUUAUGUUCCUUGAUUUUGCGUUCCUUACGCGGUCGGGUGAUUUAUGGGACCCCCUCGACAGUUCGCUUUGAAUAAAACUCCUCCAGCAAGGCCCAACCUUGGUUUUACCAUUCGCCUACCUAAGCCUUUUUCCCUUGGGUUCUGCAGACUCAAGGGUCAUCUUUAUUUUAACCCCCCGGGCCAGUUCUCCUUCGAGUGCUGGUCCAAACCGAGCGAUGUCUGGCGCCCCCUGGGCAACCAGGGUCUAUGCCAACCCGACGUCUGGCUCAUCCGGUGUGCCCUGAGAACGAGAUAUGUGCAGCUCCUAUCGGGAUUUGUCGGCACAGCGGGCGGCUUUGCUGGUCUUGUUUUACCAUUGUCGAAAUGUCUUGUAAACCGGGAUUCCGAGACUGAUCGGGUCUUUCCGGGAGAAGGUUUAUCCUUCGUUGACCGUGAGAGCUUAUAAUGGGCUAAGUUGGGACACCCCUGCAGGGUUAUAUCUUUCGAAAGCCGUGCCCGCGGUUAUGAGGCAGAUGGGAAUUUGUUAAUGUCCGGUUGUAGAGAACUUGACACUUGACCUUAUUUAAAACGCAUCAACCGCGUGUGUAGCCGUGAUGGUCUCUUCUCGGCGGAGUCCGGGAAGUGAACACGGUUCUUGUGUUAUGUUUGACGUAAGUAGGAGUUCAGGAUCACUUCUUGAUCAUUGCUAGUUCACGACCGUUCCGUUGCUUCUCUUCUCGCUCUUUGCGUAUGUUAGCCACCAUAUAUGCUUAGUCGCUGCUGCAACCUCACCACCUUACCCUUGCCUCCCCUUAAGCUUAAAUAGUCUUGAUCUCGCGGGUGUGAGAUUGCUGAGUCCUCGUGACUCACAGAUACUUCCAAAACAGUUGCAGGUGCCGAUGAUACCAGUGCAGGUGACGCAACUGAGCUCAAGUGGGAGCCCGAUGAAGAUCUUGUCCGUUGUGUUGCUUCUUUUCAUGUUGAUCAGUAGUGGUGCCCAGUUGGGGACGAUCAGGGAUCUAGCAGUUGGGUUGUCUUCUUUUAUUUUGGUUCCGUAGUCGGACCUAUGUGUGUAUCUCUGAAUGAUGUAUGUUUUAUUCAUGUAUUGUGUGAAGUGGCGAUUGUAAGCCAACUCUUUAUCCCAUUCUUGUUCAUUACAUGGGAUUGUGUGAAGAUGACCCUUCUUGCGGCAAAACCACAAUGCGGUUAUGCCUCUAAGUCAUGCCUCGACACGUGGGAGAUAUAGCCGCAUCGUGGGCAUUACAAGUUGGUAAUCAGAGCCAUCCCCGACUUAGGAGCCCCCCUGCUUGAUCGAAUCGCUGACGUUGUUGAGUCUAGAACAAAAAUGUUUUGAGACUUAGGAUUAUAUAUAUCGGAGAGUAGGAUUCUUUUUACUCCUCAGUCCCUUCGUCGCUCUGGUGAGGUCUCCUGACGUAGAAGUUUUGACUCUUCUCUCCUCAAAUUUCACUAAAUUUUUUUUUAGGAUCACGCGGGUAUCUUGGAAUCGUUCUGAUGGUUUUGUGACGAGAACAUUGUUCUUGGUGCCUCCUGACAUUUAGGGGUUGUGGCAGUGUCCCGGGGAGUUGAGCUCCGAGGUGUUGUCGUCACAAUUUUAUCGUUGCAGUUCUGGAAUACCUGAGUUUCGCCGACAUCGAAAUCUCUUUUAUGCAGUUGUUGGUGAGAUCACCUCGACGCCACCCAGUACUGGGGCGGGAGUUCGGGAGUAUUGCCAUAACUCGUAUAACGGAUGCUUUUUGAAGGUUGAGGUAAACGAUUUCCGAAGGUUUCUUGGUUAUGUGUUGACGGAUGGAUACAGCUGGAUCUAGGUAUUGUUAGUUUGGGUGAUAUAUUUUGUGUCCCCUGUAUCCCCAACACCAGAUUGCAUAACCAGAAAGUUUCAGGAGUUUAUAAGUGGGAAUUCAAGUAGCUCUUAGGAUAUCUUUCCGACAGACGCAUGAUAUGAGAUUGGGGUUCGACGUCUAGUGGUCCGCCUGUACACGGUUGAUUUUACAGUGGUCUCGUAGUGUCUUAAAGAGUCCUUGGCUAUGCCGACUCGGGGACGCUUCGUAUGUCAUGUGCACUGCCUUGUACAUGAUGGUGCUUUACGAUCGAUCCCGUGUGGGCCCCACCAUGAAAUCUUCGGACGAAAUAUCUAUCAUAUGUUUGUUCCGGCUUAUUCUGCAAGCCAAAUCCUUUGUUUUGUUUUAAGUUGUGGUAUUUGAGUUGCUUCGAAGUCAAAUGUUGAAUCCAUACCUUUCCUAAACGGUGUUCUCAUAUUUCUAUGUGGAUACUAAUCCUUCUUGUUCAUCGAGGUCGUCAUGUUAAUUCUCUUCCAACCGGCGUGCUUCUCUUCAAGUGGAUCCAAUAUUUUCAACAUCCGCAAGAUCAACUCUAAGUUUUCUCAACGGUGUUUGUUUCAUCCGUCCCAAGGUGCCUUUGUUUUUUCCGCCCUCCCACCCUCUUUCUUCAAGGACUCAGAUUUCUUAAUCAUGUAUCCAUCUUAUGGAUGUGAAGUCUCUUCAUUCUUUUCAAUCAAUGUUCUUAUCCGGUGAUUUCUCAUGAAGAUACUAACGAAACUUCAAGUUCAUCAUUCUUCAUUCUUGUAUUCUUCUCCGGUGGAUUAAAUUGAAGCUUUGUCGAUCAUAUCUUUUCCUCGUUUCAAAUGUUUUCUCAUGCCGGUGCAACUCUUAAUCAUUCCCCGCUUGCUAUUCAAUUGUUCCGGAGUGUACAAGAUAUCUCGGAAGAUUUGUGUCUCCAUUAUCAAUCUGUUCAAGCUAUUUUAAGGUUGUUAUCUCAUUAAAGCCAUUUAAUUCAACCGGUGCUAUCUCCUUUUCAAGUAAUCAUUCAACGGUGUAUCUUUUGAGUGGGCCCUAACCCACAGGUCUUUUUCCAGGAUUUUACCCGACUCUUCUAAUUCUUUCCGGAGUUAUUCUCAAAUUCUUUGCAAGUUUGACGUAAGAAUGAUUUAUCAUCAGUCAUAUUUCUUUCUCCAAGAUCUUUCAAAUUCUUUUCAUUGUUGAUUCAACCUUUCUAUUCUUCAUGGUUCCGGAGUGCUUCAUAAAUAAAGGGUGGUGUUUCUCGUCAUCAUUCUCAACAUUUGAAGACCAAAGAGUUUUUCCUCCAAAUCUUAUCCGUUCUCUUGAAGAUUCAUAGUUCUAGCUUAUGCCAUCCUCUCAUAAUUGUUUUCGAUUGUGAGAAUUCUUUUCUUACCCAUCCGGAGCAUUUCAUGAGUUGUUUUCAUUUCUUGAUCAUCCAAUGGCCAUCAUUUCAGAAGAUUUCUUCGUUCUAAGUUUUCAGCUCUCGUUCUCCAAAUCUUACCGGUGCAUCAUUCAAGUACUCUCUAGUCAGCUCGUGAUCUCUUCAUUCUCUUGUAUCUAAAUUUCCCCAAGUAUCUUUAUUCAUUUUUCUAAAUCUUCUCGGUGAAUUGUGCCUUUGCUACUUUCAUUUUCAAUUCUUACGGUGGUUCGUUCAAGAGUUCUCUUCCUUUGUUAUCAUAUCAAUUUAUUCGUUGUUUCAAUCCUACCGUUGGUCCGUUGAAGAGUUUUCUCAAGUUUGCGCUAUAUCUAUCUUAAUCCUUUCUAUGAGAAUAAGUAGUAUGCAAAAAUCCGUUACUUGUCAUCAAUCUAAAUUGGGGAAGGAUACGUGUAAUGUAAUUCUUAUUCUUGUUUCCUCCAAGUGAUUAAUUCCUUCUUCCGGAGUUCGUUCAUGAUAUCAAAUUUUCGGCUCCAAGUUGUUCAUCUUUUCUUUCCGAGCUUCAAGUUAUUUCAAUUAUAUCAUUUCAAAGCUUCAUCUAAUCAUUGCAAGGCUUCUCCCGGAGUUCUUUUCAACUUUCCAUUUCGUUUGAUCAUUCUUAUAUUACCGGAGUUCUUCAUGGAGGCUCUACAUGGUGGUUCGUCAAGGAUUCUUUUCAUUCUUCAAUUGUUCUUCAAGAUUUCUCUUGGAGUCAAGAUCCGCCAAGCUAUACUAAAAAAAAA